UUAUAAUGUUAUUUAAAUUAUAUAGCAAGUUAAAAAAAUAAACAUAAUUAUUUUUUUAAAAAAAGUCCAAUAUAACAAUUAGCAAGCAUAUUAAUAACCAAGCACAAGUUAUAUUGUAAAGUCAAUACCCAAAAUCAUCAUUUGCAAGCUCUACAGAAACGGGGCAGAAAACUAGAAAAGUCUCAAAUUAUAGCAUAUAUUUUCUUUAGAAAAGACAUACCUUACCAUUUAGCAACAUUACCUUUGUUCUGUCACAAUAUACAUAAUACAUCAUACCAUAAAUAUUGUCUGUAAAUGCAUUUGAAUUAUUAUUAUAGCAGAUGAGAUAACCACCACAUUAAUCGUCUAGCAUCACUAAACUAGUACGAUAAUUUAUUGUUUAUUUUUUGGAAGGACACUGGAUAAAUUUAUGUGAUAACCGAUUAAUUAACCGAUUAAAUUAUAAUUAAUAUAUAUUUAUUAUAUAUACUCUCAUCCCAAUUCUCAUCUCAAAUAUGAAACUAUAUCAUUCUGAAUUCGCAUAUUAAAAGAAGGAAACAAUUCCAUUCUAAUUAAAAGAAUAAGCCCACUCAGCAGCCCAUUUAGCAACUCUCUCUCUCUUCCAAAAUAACCACCGACCACUGCCUCCUUGGACUCUCUUCUCUCUCUCAAAUUAAUAUUUUUUAUUUUUUUAAAUAUAUUUGUAAAAUUACUAAAAUACCCCUGGGAUUUUUGGAAAUUCCAGGGGGUCCAGUGACCCCACUGCCCCCCCCCCCUGGCUCCGCCCCUGCAUGAGUCCAUGGGUUGUGUUAAAUUGACAUACAUUUGGAAUUAAGUGUAACUGUUGUGAAUCCGAAAAACCAACAAAACAAUAAAAAAAAUCUUAGCCUAACCCAUGAAAUCUUGACACGGUUUGAAAUUAAGUUUGAAAGGUUUAGGUGAAGAAUACUAUCAAAUUCUGCAUAAACCUAAUAAUUGAUGGACCCGCAACAAUACAUCAAUUUUAAUUAAUUAGGAGCUGACGCAAACAAUUCGACUGCGAUAUUUUUGUUUGGUCAAACGACACCGCCUAACAAAAUUUCUUCAAACUAUACUAGCUGUUACCAUAAAGCGACAUGUUAUGUCUAUAUAUCCCGUCAAAGACUAUUAAAUUAAGUAUUAUUCAUUAUUAGAUCUAAGAUUGUUCAUAGAAAACUCAUCAUAUUUUUGUGCCGGAAAAAAAUAUUCCACCUUAUUAAUUAUGGACUCGAGGAAUGAAAAAUAAAAGCAACUAAUAUAGUGAUACCUACGGCCCGGAACCGCCCGUUUACGGUUCACCGGGAAGAUGAACCGUAAUCGCCAGUGAAGAAAUUGAGAAGAGUCGAUUUCGAGUUUGAUCGAAAAUCGCCGGUUAAAGAGCCGAACUGACGGUUUUUUUAAAUUUUUUUAUGUAUUGUAUAUAAUUUUCUUAUUUUAACAUUAUUUAAUACAUUACAUGUAACAAAAUUGUUGAAAAAAUUAUAAACGAAAUAAAAUUAUAACACAUUAACACCCAAAAUUUAAUAAAAUUCACAUUUUUAUUAAAUUUAAAGUAAAAAUAAUAAUUUACAUGUACAAAUAAACUACAAUUUUCAAACUACAAAAUCGAACAAGUAAACUAAACUUACUUUUUUUAUAAAUGGAAUGGGGUAAUUUGAAGUGGGACAACCCAAAAUAGAAAUAUAGUCAUUUGAAGCGGGACGGAGGGAGUACUACACUAGUAACUAUCAAAUUUGAAUUUAAAAAUAAAUAAGUAAAUCAGAAAACCGCCGAUUGUGGACGAUUAACCGACGGUUCCGGUCGGAACCGUCGGUCUUGUUCCAUAUUUUCGAGCCUAGACUGGAUCAGGUGUUUCAUGAUUUCGAUUCUAGUUUGGAUACGUGGUCAACGGUUCUGAUUUCGAUUCUAGUUUGGAUACGUGGUCAACAGUUCUGGACUCGAACCAUUGAUCAAGGGCCGAUUUCGAGCUGGUUACCUAGUUCCAGUUAGCCCUGAACGUCACUAAACUAAUAUCAAAAGACCAAAAGUGACUGUAGUGGUUGAAUUCAAACACAAGAUUCACUUAAGUAUAAAUUUAACAAGUUCAAAAACAUGAAUUUUUUUUUGCCAUUUUUGGUCGUCUCACAAAAAUAUGAAUAUUUCUAUUUUUGCACACUAUCUUACCACAAUUCUUUUAUUUUUUAUCUCUAUUUUUUCAUAAAAUGGGACCAUUUUUCACUCAUAAUACACUUUUAUCUAAUAUUUCUUAAAAUUUGUGCUACUUACAAAUAUUUAUAUUUGUGUGAAACAGAGGGAGUAUUAGAAUUCGAUAACAAUUCCAAAAAAAAAGCUAGCUAUACAUUAUUGUCUUGGAUUGAUUCAAUUCCUUUUAUGAAAUAUUUUAAUAUAGGUAGUCUUGUGGUAACUAUGAACAAUGACUUCGAUGUCUAAAUAAAACAGCUUCUUAAUAUAGGGAUUGAUUAUAGUGAAAAUCGCAAUUUAAAAUGAGAAUUAAGACCACUGCACUGCUGUAUAAUUAACUGCAUUCGGUUAAAAUGAAAAUAAAAAAUGAAAAUUUUGCUCCCUCCAGGAUUCGAACUCAGAUAGUGCAUUGAUUCAUCAAAAUGAUACAUUCACCGUUGAUAUUCAUGAUCCAAGGAUUGAGGAUGGUUCUUCGUUCUCAUUUUAAAAAUGUUUAAAAUAUGAUUUCCAAUUUGAAAUUCAAAUAAACUUUAAUGACAAUUUUGUUAAUUAAGGUUCUAUGCAAUAUUAAAAUCAAUACAUAAAAUUCAAAUUAACCUUUCAUUAGCCCUUCAAUUAACCGUCACUAACCUUUAAAUUUAAAAUUUCUACCCCUUUUUCCUUCUCAUUUUAGAGAUAGAUAUUUUUUUCGUUUUACUGAAUUAUGUUUUCAAUAUAAUAAGUAAUAUACGUCUCAAAUGAAAAACCAUAAAAAAACCUUUAAUUUGAUACUAUCACAAGUAAAAAUUGGAUUUAAAUUAAAUAAGUAAUGAUAAUUCAACUACUUCAUUCUUUCAUUGCGGCUGGAAAAAAGAAGAGAGAAAGAAGACUGCUUAAAGCUUUGUGGGUGGGAACAGUGUGGUUGCUCUGGGAAAGCAGGAAUGGUAGUCGUUUUCAGGACAAGGCUUGGGAUAUUGAUAGACUUGUCUUACAGAUUAAGGGGGAGACUUUGGAGCUGGAACGAGGCCUACAAAAUCGUGGAGUUAGGGAUUCCUUUUACUUCUUGGUGUUCCAAAGAUUUUAAACUUGUUUUAUUGUUUUGAUUGGCAUUCCUGAUGCCUUGAUCCCCUUUUCUUUCAAUAAAAAUUUUACUUUACUGAUCAAAAAAAAAAAAAAAGUAUGAUAAUUCAAAUUUUAACAUAUUAAAUGUUUAUAAUAUUUUUAAGUAAUACUAAUAUUUUUCUUCAAAUUGGAAAUCAUAUUUUAAACUAUUUUUAUUUUUUCAUAAUUUUCGUAUUUUAAUUCUUUAAAAUCAUUAAUAGGACAUUAUGUAAUUAUUAUAGAAUAAUAGCAUAUUAUAUAUUACUAUAAUUUAUUUUAAGAAACACAAAAUCAAUAAAUAAUCUCAUUUAACAUAUUUAGACAUUUUUUAAAUUAUAUAUAUAAUUAUUUUAUUUUAUUUUAACUAUAAUUGUUACCAUGUGUUGCACUAGGGAGAGCUAUUCUAGUUAAGUUUAAACAUCUUCAAUAGUGUUAAAUUAAUUGUUAAUCAGAUCCCAAUUUUCUAAUAGUUCAUUUUUAUAAUACAAUCGCAUUCAAAAAGUUCUUACACCUACAUACAACUUUGGAAAAUGCGAAUUCGAUUUAAUUUAUGAUGUUAAAGUGAAUUUUAUUAAAAUCCAUGUAUAUCUUUUUAUUUUACAUACAUAAAUCGUGAAUAACGUGGUUUAAUUAAGUCUCACCAUCACCAUACUAUUUAUUUUUUGACUAAGAGUAAUACAUGGGACCCAUUAUUUUUUGAAUAUUUAAUUUAACUGAAAAAAACGGCUGAAGCUGAAUUAUAUGAUCCGAUUUUCUUUGAAAAUAAAAAUAUGUAUGUAUUCGCCGUAUACCCGCUCUCCUUUUUUUUAUUUUUUUUAUUUUAAUUAUUUGAUAUUCUUAAUUUCUGGAGUAGUAAAUUUUAAAUCAGAAAUAAAGCGGGUGUUCCAAAGACUUCAAACUUGUUUUAUUGUUUUGAUUGACAUUCCUGAUGCCUUGAUCCCUUUUCUUUCAAUAAAAGUUUUACUUUACUGAUCAAAAAAAAUAUAACCAGAAAGUGGUGGCCUAAUUUUAAAUUGGUUAAGGCUUUAUUCGAGAACCAAACAAAAGCAAUCCUACCAACGGCUCAAUUUAUGUUAAUUAUUGUUUGUGACCACAAUAUUUACUAGAUUUUAGAAGUUAAGGGUGCCUCCAAUGGUAAGAUUUUCCAGUUUCUAAAACCAAGAACUAGCAUUGGAGUAAGUAGGAACUAGUUUCUUUGAUAAAAUCGAGAAACUAGGUGCAAACAAAGAACUAGUUUCUCAAGCCAUUGUGGGACCCAAAUUAUGUGCUGGCAGCCGUUUUUUUGCUUUUUGUGGCCAACUUUUUAAAUAUUGAAAAACGUGCCAUUGAAUUACAUGGGUUUGGUGAAAUAUAUAUAUAGAUAUAUAGAGGGAGUGUGUAUUAUGGUGGGACCCUGAAAAAGUAAGAAACUGGUUUAUUGUUGGAGGAGAUGUGAGAGAAAAAAGUAGGUGGGUUUCUAAAGCUGAUGUGGCAGUGAUGUGGCAUUUUAGAAACUAGAAACUGGGAUCAUUGUUGGAGGCACCCUAAUGGUUUCAAGAAAAUUAAUUUUAAAAAAAUGGUUUCAAGAAAAUAAAAAAUAAUUUCUGACAUAUUCAUUUACUUCACAUGGGAUAGCUCUGAUAUUGUUUCUUGUUGGGAAAAUAGUCAAAUACCAACACGUUGUGAAGCUGUUGAUAUUUAUAAUAAUGUCAUUGUCUAUCUAAUAAUGUCAUUGUUUACCCUAUUUAUUAAAACUUAAUUUAUAAAUUAUGAGAUAUAUAUUCUCAUUCCGUAGACACUGUAUUAUAUUUCUUUUCUUUUUUUAGGGGGAAGGAGAUCAAUCUUAAUAUCAAGGACCCAGCGAGGGAACGGAAAGUUCAAAUCAUUACACCAUUCGAAGAUAAAACAAAUUUGACAAGUUCUUCAACUGCUUUAUUUGUGAUACGGUGCACAUGUCAGAAAUCAAUAACAACAUACUUACGAACAUGUUCGAAAGCUUCUCACAUAUCGUGUGUAAGAAAUUGUAAUUGAACAUCAAUUGAAUAUUAAUUUUAAUAAAAUUUUCAAACUCAUUAUUUAUAAUAGGCUAUAAAUCCCACUUCGAAUUUAUUCAUGGGGGGCGAGGCGUCACCCAAAUUCUUUUGUUCAAAUCGAAAUAUAAAUGGAAACUCUUUGAAUGCAAGUACACCCUUCUUCUCGAAGCAGUUAUUUUUAUGGCCCAUCAUUGUAUAGCCCAUCGCGAAAUACUUUAUUUUUAAAUGGCUAUUUACAAAUAAUAUGGGUCGAAUUAAGAUUAGGGACACUUGAGCAAUCCAUGGCCCGUAUUUCCUUAACAUAUCCGGCCCAAAACAUAUAAAAAGAGAAAAUACAAGGAAACGGUUUGAGAGGGUUCUCUCUCUCUCUUCACUGAGGAUUUUAAGGUUAUCUCUUUAUUUAAAAAAAUUAAUUGUAAUAACUUGAAUCUUCAACUAAGAAACGCCUUAUUAACUGGAUUGCACUUCAAUGUCGAUUUUUAUUUAGACGGUACUUCAAUGUCGAAUUAAGAGGAUAUUUGAUUAAGCCUAUUUUAGAUAUUUUUAAAAAAUUUAAAGAGACUACAAAAUAUAAUGUUUCAAAACAUUAUAAGCUAUCAAAAUAAUUAAUAUUAUUACAUGGAGUAUUAUUUUUUAGAGGGAGUAAUUAAUCUUAUAAAUUAGAGUAGAAUUGUGAGUUAGAAAGAAAUGCAGGGAGAAAUGCAACGGGAAACAGAAGAUAAUUGGGUCCUUCAAAAUAUCUAUAUUGUGCGAAAUAUUAGGUUAUCAGCUGCCUUAUUAGCUUCUUUUUUUUAAUUAUCCUUUACAAAAAUAAUUUAACGUAAGGAAUGCGUUGCAAAACCAACGUGCGCAAGGGGAAAUCAGUUAAUAUUAACCAAAACUUGACCACCAUUAAUUUCCGACCCUAAACAUCUGCAAAUUUUGGUUCCAGUCUCACUAUCAGUCUUUUUUUUUUUUUUGAUAAAUUUACAAUAUUAAUCCUAAACGGAUUAAUUUGAUCCAAAUCAGUAGCAUUUAAUAUUAUUUAAUCAGUUUAUGAAUUGAAAAGUACGGAUGGAAUCCUUGUUCCACAAUUUAGUAUGUUUCAUUCAACUUUUAAUUUAUUACAAUUAUUAAUUACUCCCUCCGUCCACGAAAUGAGUACCUAUUUGUGAACGGCACGAGUUUUAAGAAAUGUAUGGAGUGUAGUGUGAAUAGUUUAAGGGUCCCAUUUUUUAGUGUAUUAAUUAAAGAGAUGUAUGUGGUACACUUGCCAAAAAGGGGAAAUGAGUACUCAUUUCGUGGACGGACGAAAAAGGAAAUAUGGGUACUUAUUUCGUGGACGGAGGGAGUAUUAAUAUAAUAAAAAUAUAAUUAAUCAAGGUUCACUGUUCCGGUUAGAGUUUAUAAAUAUUAUUAUAUUUAUUUUAUUUAAUAAUGAAUUAUUUGGGUUAAUUAAUUCAAAGUUAUGAUAUAUAAUUUUUUUAAUUUCAAUUUUUAGUAAUAAAUAUUAAUUAGAAUCUAAUAUAUACUAUUCCCUCUCUCCUACUAACAAUGGCGUAUAUUCUAUUUUGGAUUGUCCUGUUAUAAAUAGUUUAUUUUCAUAUAUGACAAAAGUUAACCUUUAAAAAAGUUUAUGCGCCUAGCCGCCUUCCAACUUUAAUCAAUUAUCCUUCUUCUUAAUCCGCAUGUCCAAAAGUGUUGCGUCACUUAUAGUAGGAGGAAAUUAAAGGAGUAAUAUUUUUUUAUUUUCAUAACAAAUAAUUAUAAAAUAGAGAGAUUAAGAAUGAGACACACUAAUUAUAAAACAAAGAAUUCAAUUAAAAAUAGCAUUUAAAACAUUCUCUUCGAUUUGUGUAGUCAGCUCUCAAAUUUAAUAGAAUAUUACAUACACGUUGGAUGUGUUUGGUUUGAGUGCAUGAUAAUGCAUGAUUGAUAAAAUAAUCUAAUUUAAUUAAGUGUUAGGUUUGUAUGAUUGGGCCCGUGAUGGAUAACUAGGCCCGUUACUUUAAUAAUGCAAUUGAGUAAUUAUUUUGUAGCCUAAAAUUGGAUAGAUGAUUAAAUUACUCUCCAACCCUAUCAAUUUUAUCCAUAUCAUUCAUCAAAUCAAACGUAUCCGUAGUAUAUAUAAUAGAAAAUAAAUAUUGCAUAGAGCCAUACAUAUACAUAUAUUUGGGGGCGGGCCAGCAAUCAGAAAAUCAGUUUUUGAAAAAAAAAAAAAAUUGGGGGUAGGGGGUGGGGGUGGGGCAGGGGUGGGGUGGCGAAACUACCAGAUUUAUUAAAAUGAAAUGCAUUUUUUGUAUAAUUUAAUGCAUUUUUAUGUGAAAACUUUAUGCAUUUUUGUUUGAUUUUAUAUGCAUGUGAAACAUGCCUAUUUUUGGGGGGGUGGUAAUGGGGGAGGGUUGGGGGGGUGGUGUGGGGCUGGAUUGGGGGGGGUGGUAUGGGGGUGGGGGUGGUAAAAAUACCAAAACUGGAAAAAUUAAAUGCAUUUUUCUGUUCAAAGUUAUGCAUUUCAUGUGAAACUUAUGCAUCUUUGUGUGAAACUAUAUGCAUCUAAAAUAUAUCUAUUUUGAGAAAAUCUAAAAAAAUAUAUUUUUUUAAUUAUUAAAUCCGAAAAUUACAUUCCAAUUUUACCCCUCCAGAUUUGCCUUGGAAUCCUUGCCACGUGUCACCAUCUUGAUGCGCCACAUGUCAUAAAUGUGUGGUCAAGAUUUGGAUCUAGGGAUCUAUUAUAAGCAUUGAGAUCUAUAUGAUCCCAUUCCUAUAUAUAUAUAUAUUAUAUAUAUAUAUAUAUAUAUAUAUAUAUUAUUUAAUAAGAUAGUUGUAUACUAGUGAGUCUUAUUAGAAUAAAUAAAUUAUAACAAUAUAAAUAUCUUCCAGUAUUGAGUAACGGUAAAUUAGGAUUAAAAGAAUUCAUAUUAUAAUUAAUGUAUGUUAAGUGGUAUAAAAAAAUAUUUUAAUACUUUAAAAAUGGUUGAAUAUUAUUGCAUACACGCAUAUAUAAUGAGUACAAUUAAUUACAUUACCUAAUAUAGAAUGGUGUAUAUAAAUAUAAGUAUAUAACAAUAAUAAUUGAUUAAUUACUUAAAAUCUUAUUUCUAGAAACGGAAAGAUUUAAAUAGAGUUAAAUUUACUAUUUACGGAAUUCGGUGUUGUUAUAAUAUAGUACUUCUAUAGAAGAUAAUGAUCAGUAAAUGUAAAUGAUCACUAAAAUAUUCAUAAAUUGAAAAACAUUUUUGAAAAAUUAAUACCCACAAAACAAAAUAGCCCGGGAAACCUAAUUUUGGCAAUUCCCCCCAAGUAAAAUUCCGCUACUAUAAACCAAUCCGAGCUAUUCCUCUCUCUCGCUUGACUUUCUGUUUCUAGAAAUUAUCAGACGCGCAACAAUUUGAACAAUCGAAAGGAAAGCGGAGCCGAAGCGAUGGAGAAUACCAACGCAUCGGCGUCACCCAACGGAAACAAUCUGGCGAGGUGGUUCGGCACGAGCGUCGUGGCGGCGUUUUUUGCGUCGCUGGAGCGGUGCUCGUGCGUCAACGUCGACGCUGACGGUGAAGAGGACGACGACGAGGCCAACGACGAUCCUCUCUUGAUCACCACUUUUUACUCCUUCAAUUCCACUGCCUCUUCCUCCAAUGGCGCUAGUCAGAGCGGAGAUGGGAGCAGUUUUGCCUCCGCCUCUCAGAAUGUCCACGCAUGAUCUCUAUCAAUUAGGGUUCAUCUGUAUAUGGUGUGUAGGUAAAAUCAUAGGAUAUAUUCUCGUUUUGGUUUAUGCAAAUGCUUGUGUAUAUAUAUGUGUGUGCAUCUUUCUCCUGAUCGUGUUGUGGAAUUAGAAGAUUUAGACGCGAUUGCGAGAGACAUAGUUUUGUUGUGAAUUUGAUCUCAUCAAAAAUGGGGGAAAUUAGGAAUUUUUCUUUUUCUUUUUUGAUCAAUUUAUAAUUAAAGAUCGCCUCACCGUGUGCUCGAAUCCGAUGCCACCGUUAAUUAGAUAUAUGUUGUACAGGGAAGCUUCCAUGUAAAGUUUUAUACUGUAAUUGAUGACUUUGGUUUUGGAUUUUGAAAAAUUACACUUAUUGAAUCAUAUAUUUAUGUUACAAUUCUAGAAUCUUCAUUGUUUGUUCGUUCAAGUCCACCUAAAAAGUUGGAAGUUGGUCUGAUUAGCUCGUGUUCAUGUAUCUGGUGGUGUGCUUGAAGAAUUAAAACAAUUACAUACGAGUAUAUUUUUAUUUGGAUUUGAUAUAACUUAUAAGAAUGAGGCCAAUGUAUCCUUGAAGUUAAUUAACGUAGCAUUUCUGGAUGCUCGAAAGCUGGCUUGGAUUCAUUUUGAGAAAAGUUUAUCUCUUCUCUUUUUUCCCAGUGAAAACUAGAAUUUUUUCAUUGUAAAUUUGAAUAAAAACUGCAAUUUGGCAAAAUACUCGACUUGGAACCAAAACUACGUUGUGGGCCGAAAUUGUAUCUCAGCAUCCAGUGGGCCAAAUCAUUAAAUAGCUCUAAAUAAAAAGCCCUAAGUGAUGUUAUUUAAUCAAAAGCCCACAUUUUAAUACUCAGAUCAAUUAGGUUGAUCAAACAAAGCAGAAUACUGAAUACGCCUGAAUGUGGAAACUCAAUUUUGCCCGUAUUUCUCAAAAAAAUAUACAAGGAAUAAUAUAGGCAAUUCUAUACAACGCUAAGCUAUGAAUAUGUAUAUGUAUAGUUAUGCACAUCCCAGAGAUGAAUACAAAAUUUACCCAAUUCCAUGGGAUCUGAGCAAGAAGCAGCGGCGGAUAUUUGUUCCAGUUUUAUGAAUCCCAACAGUGGACACGUCAAUCAAUCAAUCAAUCAUCUUGAGACCAGAAAACACCAUGACAAAAGAUGGUAUUCCCCACCAUUAUUCAUCAUUCAAUUCCAUCAUGCCUAAUGCAACACCCCAUUUUUCCUUUCUGGGCCAGCACCAAGAUUCAUCAUCAUCAAUCUUAGUUCAACCCCCAUGCCCUACCUCUGCAAUUCUCUUUGCAAUUUGCUCCAUUUUGACUGACUGCUGAUGCCCAUACCCUCAAGGGACCUAAACCAUCGCCAUCCUCAAAUACUCGACGUUACCAUAUACAGGGGUCCUCCGCCAAACCACACUCGAUUUCCAGCGCACUCAUCAAUCACUCUCUAAAGAAAUCAGACCAUAUCCAUUUUUUUUAGCAACCUGUCUUAAAGGGACACCGGUAAACCAUAAUUAUGGAACGAUCUGAUCCGUCCAUCCCACCCUGAGGUGACGAUCACCAAACCCCAUGCAUGAGAACCCCUUGACGCGCUCUCACAACAACUCUUGAGAAGUUUGUACUGAGAUUUGCUAAUAGGUGAUGUCACAGCUCGGGGGCUAGGGACCGGAAGCUUUUCCUCUGGCCAGGUCGCAGAUCCCUUUGAGCUCGCGUCCAUGAAAUAGAGAGAGGAUGAGGAUGAGAACGGCAAUGAAUUUGUGUGCAGUUGGUCCGAUUUCAAGCCAGGCCAUGGUAUGGCAACAGAGGCAUCGGAGGAGAAACAUUCGAAGGACCUAACAGGCUUUGAUUGCGAUAGAGACUCCCUCUGAUCAGAGUAGUUCCACAUAUAAACAUUGGAGUCAUCUGAUGCUGACACGAUAUGCUUUCCAUCCCCAGUAAAUGAAGCACUACUAUGGUUACCAGCAUUACGAGGGCCUGAAUAUAUCACAAUUAUGUAAACAAAAUUGAGCAAAACUCCGAAAUGCCGUACUAGCUAACCAUAACUUGAGGCUGUUCUAAAACAAUUCGAGUCGAAAUUUGACUUAUAAUGACCCUUCAAAAUGUUAUACAAAGUUGAGAACACAAUCAAAUAUAAGGAUGGUUUUAAUUCAUUAGAAACAUUUUUUGAUAACGAAACCAAAGCUUUCAGAACCUUACCUUUGUACUUCCCAAUCACAUUCACCCCAUCGAUAAUUCUGACUUUUGAAUCAGCAGAUGUGACCAAUAUUUUGCUUGGAUCUUGCGGUAAGAACUGCAUUCACAACAUAACGAUGUAAGAAAAAGAAAUCCAUUGAAAUAGAAAACCAAUAGCUAAAGAAAAUCCCAAGGGUGUAACCUGAAAGCCAGUAAUCCUUUUGCAAGCUGACUUCUUCUUACUUGUUAAGCACAUCUGAGCUCCCAACUGGAAGUGAUUAUCUGAUACAAGAAACACGAGUCACCCAAUGAUUAGUCAACCCCAUCUCCAUUUUGUAACAGAUUAAUCUACGAUGCAAUCUCGAGUCCCACAGCAUGUUGACUUCCUCUAAUUUUAUGGCUUAAAAAUCAUGCAAAAAGACCCAGAUAAGGAGUUAAGGCUUCAGAGUUCAUUAUGAAAAAGUUCGAAUCAAGAAAAUACUCAGUCACAUUCACAUAUAGAAUCGGCAUAAGCACGUUAAUCAAACAAAAGCCACAUUCUGUUCCCAUUAAUGCGACAAAGCAUACACAAAUUCCUAAAAAAGGUUAUGCCCAAACGUGGUAUACAGUAUUCGGGUGGGAUUUACACUACAUAAACCUAUAAUAUGAGAGAACCAAGGGUUGAAUUAUACCACGAAGAAAUUGUGAUCGACUUUAAUGAAAAUGUACCUGAUAAGUGAAAAUGGUGGCAGGUGCCUGCAGUAGAACCAAUAAUACCAGCCUGUAUUACAAGCAAAGGAAUAACAAAUUGAUAGUCUUGCAAUUUGCAAUUGUAACAAUAAAAAUCUAAGGAUCAGUUUUAACAGACCUGGCCAUCGGGGCGGUAAGAAACAGCACUGAUAAUGUCCCUUGUUUCAAUCCAGUCAACGACUUUACAACCACCAAUUGACCAAAUCCGGGCCUUCCCAUCUAUUGAACCACUGAUGAAGUAAUCAUCAUUCACAGGGUUAAAUUGGAUGCAGGUCACUGCAUAGCAUCAGAAUUUGUCAUUUUAGCAAAAUAAACACAGUAGUGCUAAACCAAACUUACUUUUUAGUUUUUGUGCCCUCCCAAAUUAGCUUAUUUUGAUUAGUUCAGAGACAGAGUUAUGCAGCUAGGUGUGUACCAUAAUCACUGUGCUGGAAAACCUUGAGGCACUGAUCAACUCCAACCCGCCACAGACGAACAGUUUUAUCAACAGACGAUGACAGUAGACACUGCAAAGGAAAAGCAACAAAACUUUAGUUUCAAUGUAAAAUUUCAGAAGAUAACAUAACACAAUGAUAACCAACAUCCUAAGCAAUAACGUACAUUAUCCUUUGACCAUGAAAGAUCCAAGAUCUCCCCCCUGUGCCCUUGGAAAACAUGCAACGGCUUCUCAAAAAUUCGAAAGACCUUUGAAGGGAAGACUAUACAAGCUGAAUCCUGUGUCCUUCUCAGGCUCUUGGAUUUUUUAAGUUUACCUUUUUCCAUCAUUAAAGGCCCCAAUUCAGACAGAUGAUUGACAGAGAAGUAUACACACGAUGGAUCUGCAUCCGGAAUGUCAAGUGUAUCCAAUCUCUCAUCCUCCACCACCUGCCAGAUUCUGACAAUCUUAUCUUCACCAGCACUAGCAAGGUAUUGCCCAUCAAGGCUGAAUUUCAUUGCUGUGAUCGGCCCCUCGUGUGCUUGAAUUUCUUGCCCAGUAAAGAGGGCUGAAAGCUCCUUCAACCUUCUCUGACAAUGGCGAACCCUAACUCUCCAGAUCCUCGACCCCUGUACCUGGCCGAAGACACAAGAUCCAACAUUCUCUUCUUUCAUACCCCCACUCAUCAUGCAAGUCAUGGAACGCAAUCUACGCAACAACCUCUUUCUCAAAUUACUCCGUGUUCUUGAUGUAUUUACACUAGCCUCAUUUCCCCUAUCCCAGAUUUCAUCAACUGUGCAAGGCAAUUGAGAAGCACUAUCUAAUCCGCCCGAUGAAAGCAGCCACUCCAAUCCCAUCAAUUGAGUAUCUCCUCGCCUCUCGUUUUCCACCAUCCCACCCAUGUCACAUUCAAAUCCACAUCCACCACUAAGAUUCCCAUCCCCAUUUCUACACAAUCCCAGAUCAUCUGUUCCCAACUCGACACAGAUGAACGGCUAGAAGAAAAUUCAUCUUCACUUCUUAGCACAGCGCCACUAUCCUCCAUAACUCUUUCAAUAUCUCCCCUCAUACUCAUAUCACUACAUGACAACUAUCUACAGCUUCUCUCUCCACCUCACCUAUGCUGAUCCCAAUCUCCCUAAAAAAAUUCUCACGGCGCUCACCGACACUCUGUGGAGCAUUAAUCCACACAUCAUAUUCCCAAUUCCUAAAUCUUGGCUCUUCACCAAUGUGCUCCAGCGCGUCGAAAAAAUGAGAUUCCUCGUCGUUGGUGAAGCUAUCCAUGAUCUCUUGAGUUCAACCCAUGAAAUAUAAUUAACUCAAACUUUUGAAGACAUAUGCAAUGUGCUUAUCCCCUCUUUCCAAGAUACAACCUUUGAACAACAAAGAGACACAAACUUAAGUUUUAAAAAAUGACUAAGAAACAAAGGAAGAUGCACCACAACCAAUAUUUCUGCAAUGGCACAAAUAAACAAAUAAAAGCUCGGGUCCAGCAAGAAACAUAAAACAAGCACAACUACUGUUAAUUAUCGCAAUAAAAAAAUCGGGGGGGAAAAAGCAAUAGAUCCAACAUGGAUCCCAAUCCACACACAUUGAACCUGGUGUCCCACAUAUAGAUAUCUUCCCACAUCAAAGAAGCGAACUUGAUUACGUUUUUUUUAAUAUUAAGCCUGGAAAAUAUAACAUUCAGGUUUUCCAUGAACUACUAGUAACACCCACAAAAUAUUUGAAAGCCCAUUACAAAAAAUUUAAUUUUUUUAAAACGUAACGGAACCAUAUUGACGCAAAAAUUAAGCGAAAAUCCUUAUUCGAAUUCCACGACAGGUUCUAGAAAUGGAAAGAUGAAAAGUUGAGAGAGAGAAAGAUUGGCUCACAUGCGCUGUUUGAUAGAGAAGAGAAUUGCAGAGGGGGGAAGGGGUGAGAGAUCGAGGUCGAGGUCGAGGUCGAGGGAGUGGCUGGCUCUUUACAAACGGAAGCAACGAAGACGAGUGACCAUUAAAAAGCAAUUGGUAAAAGGGGAUAAUUUGGAAUUAAUGGGAAAUUGAUGGAUUGGAUUGUGGUGAGGAAGAAAGUUAUGAUGGAAAAAGGAAAAAAGGCAUAAAUUCUCGAUAUCCGUGAAUAUGGAUGGCCCGAGAAACGAGAUUUUGGGCUCAGUUUUUGUGCGUACUAAAUAGGCCAACUACCAUACACACCAAAUUCUUCCAAUUAUUCUUUUUAUAGUUGUUUUUUUACUAAUUUUCCAACUCAUAUUUUAUUAUAUUUUUUAAAAAAAGUCUUGUGAUUUACUAUUUUAUUUUUCUAAUAAAAAGUCUUGAGAUUUAAUUUUAUAAUAUUGCCCUUCAAAUUUCAUUUAACAUGUAAUUUAGAAAAAAAUUAUAUGAAGCAUCGUAAUAAUGUCAGUAAAUUCACUGUCUUUUAAUUUAUUAGAAUAAAAUUAACACCUUUGAAGCUUUCUUGUCAUUGGAGAGUUGAUGCAGCAUGGAUCACUGGAAUUGGUGUUGCUGCUGUUGCACAUGUGUGUGUGACUGCAUGGCCUAAGAAUUUUCAAUUUAAGUUAUUAAUGUGGAUGAUAUUAAUGCUCUUCUUAUUAAGUUUAGUGCAAAAGAUCAUGAUCAAAAAUGAAAAGUUCAAAAUCCAAAUAUUGCGGAAUUUCACUAACUUCUUGUGUAUAUAAGUAUUAUGCGAGAGUAUUUCUUCAGAAUUACAAGGCUAACUUAUGAAGUUAAUGUUGUUCAGGCAAACAUGAAAGGCGUAAAAAAAUGAUCAAUAAUGGGGAUAGUAAAAAAAUAGAUGGUCAACCUGAGCUAAACAAGGGAAAAUCAUAGAUGAAGAAACAUAAUCAAUAUGGAAGAUAACUAAUGUUGGUUAAUCAACCCUAACUAUGAUAAGGGAACUAGUCGGUGUCAGGGACGGAUCCAAGAUUUAACAUAAGGGGGGCAGAAUUUGUUGAACUACGACGUCUGAAAAUAUUUACACGGGUUUGGGGUCAGGAGCCCCCGAAGAUAUUUUUUUUUUUUAGCAUUUCGUACAGUUCAUUUUCAUGCGUUUUUUUAACAGUCACCUGAUAUAAUAAAUAGUUGUUCACAAUUCAAUUAAUUCAACAUCAAGUGUAUUAAAAGCAUAUAAAGACAUACUUUUAUGUAUUUUUAAUAAAAAAAAAUCAUCUUCUAAACAAAUAAACUAAUUUCAUUAUUAAUAGUUCAUAAUUUUACUUUAACUUGAGGAUUUACUCAAAUUCAACAUUAAAAAUUAACUAAGAAAGGAAAAUAGGAUUAAAAUAGCAUAAAUUUAAUAAAUCAAUGUAAAAUAUUAUUAAGCAAUUAACAUGGAUAUUAUAAUUAUUAAACUAAUGUAUUAUAUUUUUUGUUGAAUUUCUUAUACAUACAAUCUUAGAAUUUGGCAAUGUUGACAUACAAUCUUAGAAUUUCAGUUCCCAACUUUUAUUUUUCUCAGUUUCAUAACUUUUGAUUAUUACUGCUUUCCAGUUUUUACAGCUUGGAUUGGAUUUCUAUAUGGAUUGAAGAUUCAAGAUUUUUCAUUCAGUUUAUUUAAUUCAGUUUUUAUUAUUGCUUUCUUCUUUAUUAUGUUUUUGUUUUAUUUUGCUAUGUCUGGCUAGUUCUUUUAUCCGAACCUAGGGUUUGUACAAAGUUGUUUUAAUAUGUGUGUUUGAUUUGUUGAUAUCAAUUUGCCCUCCAACUUGUGAUUCAUGAUUCCUGGUGCCUGUUUUCUUGUGAAUUACCUGAUCAAUAAUUUACAUGUCUAGCUGUUCAGUUUGAGUCUUGAAUGCGAUAAUUGUUCAGCCGAUUCAGGAAUGCAUGAUAUAGUGUUAGCCUUGAGUCUUGAAUGCGACUAGUGAAGCUAUAGGAAGUUAUUAUUUGUGUGCUAUUUGGAGUUAAUUUAUUCCUUGCAGUCUUGAAUGUGAAAAGGGGUAAAUUAAUGUACGUUCAUAGGUGUUCGUUAGAGAAGCUUGUGAAUAAUAUAGUGAUCUUUCAUCAGGGUUGGAUUAAAUUGGUAAUUGAAUCAAUAUGUUGAAUACAUGUGUUUGAUUAACAAUAGUACAUCCCUAGGGUCAGAGUAUUUUAUUAUUUGAGUUUUUAUCCUAUUUUAUUUGCUUUGUUUUGAUUUUAGUUUUAUUCUUCGUUCUUUUGGGAGUUUGCGUGAAUAGUACUAGAGUUUACUCGGGAUUACUUAGAGUCAUUCGUUAUAAUAGUCCAUGUGGAUAUGAUACUCGACUUGUUGUUUCUGUGCUACGAUUACACUGUUUAGUUGCAGUUUUUAUUGCAAUAAAAAUAGUGAUCAGUUACAGUGGCUAUGACAUGUCAACCCUUUUUUUUUUAGGGUUAAUUGCCUGUAAAUUCAUAACGUUUACACGGAAUUGGUUUUUGCUCCUAAUUUAAAAAAUCCUCCUCUAAAUACAUAACCUUUCAUUUUUGUCUCGUUUUUCUCCGAUGACCGAUUUUUUCUUACGUCGGCGUCGAAAAUGACACGGUGGUAGCCAUAAUUGACGAUGUGGCAGCCGAAAUUGACACCUAAGUAUAUAUUUGACAUGUGGAAUAUAAUUAAACAAAAAAAAGAAAAAUAAUUGACAUGUGGAAAUAACCCCCCCAAUCGUCUUCUUCCUCCUCCCCUUCCCCCAUCCGGCGCCCCCUCCCCCUCUCCUUCCCCCACCAUCUGCCGCCGCCACCUCCCCCAUCUGCACCUCGGCGCCACCAGUUUCCCCCUCCUCGAACCUGCGUCGACCCUCCCCCUUCCUCUGAAACUUCGCUGCCUUCCUCCAGAUCUAUGUCGCCGCAGUGAGAAUUAGGGAUCUGUUGGAAUUGAAGGGGGGUUUCAGAGGGAGAUAAUAAGGUUGAAGUCGGUGGUGGGUUUGUGUGUAAUUGAGCGAGAAUGGAAUUGAUCGGAAUCGGGGCGGUGGUUGGCUUCUCGCCACUACUGUCGCUGUGAGCACUGUAGGGGGUGGGAAGAGGGGGAGAGAUGCAGCUGGCUGCAGGGGCGGAGGUAGGGUGUGCGCUGCGGCGAAAUUGACACUUUUUGAAGCUUCGAAUUCGCUGUAGCAAUUUCAGUAGCUUCUUGCUACCAUGUUUCACCUCUGUCAUUGUGUGCGUGUGUGAUUGUGUGAGAGGGUCGCAGGGCCAGCGGCGAUGGUGGCGGCAGGGCAGCGGCGGCGAGUGUGGGAGGGGUGCCGGGAUCUGGGAAUGAGGGAUGGCAGACGGGAUCUGGGGAGGGGGAGGGCCGACGGGUCUGGGGAUGCGGGAGGGCUGACAGCUCCUGGGAGGGGGAGGGCCAUGGGGUCUGUGGAGGGGAAGGGGGCGGCGGCCCGGCGUGUGGUGGCGGCAGGCGGCACCGGCAGGUGGGGAGGGAAGUUAGGGAUUUGAGAGUGGGAAGAUGAUAUGUGAUGUUUUUUUUAUUAUUUUUUUUAAUUUUUUUUCACAUGUUCUAAAUGUGCCUAGGUGUUAAUUUACGGCUGCCACCGCAUCAAUUCUGACUGCCACCGUGUCAUUUCCGGCGUCGGUGUAAGAAAAAACCGGUCAGCGGACAAAAACGAGACAAAAAUGAAAGGUUAUGUAUUUAGAGGCAGAUUUUUUAAAUUAGGGGCAAAAACCAAUUCCGUGUAAACGUUAUGUAUUUACAGACAAUUAACCCUAUAUUUUAAUUAAUUGAAGCAUAUAAUAUCUUAUAAGAACUUAUAUGUGAUCAAAUUCAUUAAAAUGGUUGAUACUCUUUAUUCUUUUCAGUUAAUUUCUCUCAAAAUAAGAUUCAUUGUACUUAGCUAGAGUGUGUUAACAAAGAUGCAACUUUGUCAUUACUAAUUAAAGUAUGCUAAGUUUAACAAUCCAAACAAUGGAACAACUAAAUUAAUCCAUAAUAUAAAAUGUAACGUCUUAUUAAUUUUAAAAAUGGUAAUUAGUGUAUAAAUAUAUGAAUUAUACUCACUUUUUGGUAUUUAAUAUGAACUUUAAAUUAAUCCUCACUUCAAAAAAAAAAAUCAUGAACUUUAAAUCGUAGUUAUAAAUACAUGAACUUUAUUCACUUUUGGUAUUUAACAUGAAUUUUAAAAUAUAGUUAUAAAUACAUUAACUUUAAACUUAUUCAAUUUUGAUUGGUUUUUCAUUUUUUUUUUUCAAAUUAAAAUUGUCUUGGAAUGCCUGAAUCUGGAUGUGGACAAUUUCUCGCUACAAAUAUUAAUCUUCAUCGUUCAAUUUUUGGCCCAUUCUUUUAUAUUCGAAUUUGACUUUCUAAAGGAUGAAAUUGGCUUUAUGAAAUUCUCAAAUCUUAAAGACGAAAUUCUCAUUAUGAAUUUGUGAAAUUUGUAGACAAUUCUUUUUCAUUCAUUUUCAUAUUUUAGUUUUGGGUUAUUUUCCUCUAACCAAAAACGACGUCGUCGUAUCUCAGCGUCGAAUUGUCCACGUCAAUAUUAAGACAUUCCGAGUCAGUUUUAAUUUGAGAAAAAUGAAAAAUAAGUAAAAAAUUAAAUAAGUUUGAAAUUCAUGUAUUUAUAACUAUAUUUUAAAGUUCAUGUUAAAUACCAAAAGUGAGUAAAGUUUAUGUAUUUAUAACUAAGAUUUAAAGUACAUGUUAAAUACUAAAAAUUAAGUAAAGUUUAUGCAUUUAUAACUAGGAUUUAAAGUACAUGUUAAAUACACCAAUUACCCUUUUAAAAAUAUCCUUAUAAUAUUUGCCAAAUAAAAAAGUAUAUGCCUAACUAAUUGUUUGUUUCCCACAUAUUUGUACGAAUGCAUACAAUAGUCAAAGCAUCGCUUCUUUACAUGAUUAUUGUAUCAUAGUUCACAUAAUUAAAUUUAUUUUAAAAUCAAAAGUAUAGUCUCAAAGACAGAUGUCGAAUAUGGGCUACGUCGUUAAGGUUGAAUAAUCGCUAUUACGACUUGUAUAUAAUCACGCUUGAUUAGUAAAAUAGAAUAGAGUUUACAAGUGAAAAUACUACUAGCGCCGUAGCGCGUGACACUCAACAUCACAAUGACAAAAUUUGAAUCAUGGGCCUUGGGAUUUAAGUAAUAUAAUUAAUCUUUAUACAAUUUAAGAAAUUUAUGAGUACGCAGCAUAAAACAAGGCAUCGUAUAUUUAAUCGCGAUGUCUUUUACUACAUAUCAUAUUACAUAUUUAGUUAAAUAUAUUAAAAUAUCUGUAAAAUAUAAUAUAUUGUUUGAUAUUAUAUAUUAAGAUUAUAUAAAAUUAAAAAUAGUUAGGGUUAAAUGCAUGUAAUAUCAUUAGGGGUGACCAUCAGUUCGGUUCGGUGCAAAAUUGAAUCAAAAAUNUAUAUAUAUAUAUAUAUAUAGUCAUUCAAUCAUUAAAAUUCACGAUGAAUGCAUCGUUAUAGUAGAUAGAAUGCAAUAUAUGCAUUCGAAUCUUGAAGGUGUUGCAUUUAUGAUUCAUUUGUCAAGACGAUGCAUCCAUCGUGAAUCUUAAUGAUCGAAAGGAUUCGAACCCAAGUGCUUCAUUCAUCUAUCAAGACAAUGCAUUCAUCGUGAUUUUUAAUAAUCGAAUGACUGAAAAUGAUUCUUCGUUCUUAUCUUCAGGAUUCAAACCCAGAUGUUGCAUUUGUAAAACCCUAAUAUAAUUAAAGUGUUAGGUAUAAAUUUAAAGAACUAUUUAAUGUGAAAAAUCAUAAAUUAAGUAAUUUUGAUUAUUUUAAAACCAUUUUCAAAAGAGAUAAAUUAAAUAGAAUACUGAAAUAAAACUUGAAUUUAAAAGUACAAAGUCAUAACAUCAACACAACAUAAUAAUAUUAUGACUUAAAUAAGUCGAACGUGAUAUGGAAAUAGUUUGGAUCCAAAACUUAAGCUAGAUAAACAUUAGAUGUUAUACUAAGUUCAAAAGAACGUCUUUUUUCUUGAAAGAUGAUUUGACGUGCCCAUUCACCCUCCACGGUCUCCAUCAUCAAUUAUCUAAAAUAUUUGUAAAGUAUUAGAUGAGCAAUACAAAAUAUACUCAAUAUGGUAUAUCAUGUAAUAACUGUUCAAGUUAAUAAAAUAGUUAUACAUACCAUCACAAUAUUUAUUUAGCACGGUAGCAUACCAAUGACCUUUACAUCCUGAACCCAUUCAACGAGCCCUUGACGAUUAUGAUUGCAACCUUAACUUUUAAAAUUAAUUUGCAUUGUGGCAUACUAAGGAUUGUGACGUCCUAGAUCCAUUCAGCAGGCCCCUAGCUAUACAUAAUUUAACUCACACAUUGUAAACACAUAAUGUUAAAAUGAUUAACAAUUAAUCACAUUAUGUAUUUAAAUAAAUUUCAAUUCAAAAAUUUGCACUUGGUAGCUAACUUGAGUAAUUCAAUUCAAAAGUUACGUCAUAAUCGCACCGCACCUAGUCAGAUAAAUUUAAAUAACAAAAUCUAAUUGCCUAAUGAAACUUAACAAUGUAUUCUAUAAGAUCAUUAAGAUCAUUCAAAUAAAUGGCCUAGUUAAUAAGAAAUACUAUAUAUAUAUAUAUAAUCUUAUGGAAAUUUAAUUCUAAACUUAAUUAAUAAUGUAAGCUCAAAUAUUUAAAUAUAUUAAAAGUAGAUAUUCAAUCCCAUUAGUGGAAUAACCUUAAGUCCAGAAUUUUGAACUCAGUAAAUGACUUUAAAACUGGAUCCAAUAGCUAAAUAAAAUUAAACCUAUCAGUUUAAUUAAUUAGGGUCCAAAGGUUGGCCCAAACCUUUGAGCCCAUACACAAAUCAGCACACGCGCACAAAAAGAACACACGCACACAGAACAUAAAUCACACGCACACAGCACAGGCACCGCCCCCAUUGAGUAGCGUUAUUGUAACAAAAUUUAUUCGAAUAAAAAAAUUAAAUAUUUAAAAAUAAUAAUUUAUUUAAAAAUUUUUGGUUCAAAUUUUAAAAUAAUUUAGUUAAUUUUAUUAUUUUAUCCGCAUUGUAGAUUUUUUUUAUGUAAUUUAUUAACAUGUAUUUUAAUUUUUAUAGCCUUUUUUAAUAGUUUUUGUACUUUAAAAAUAAUAAAAAUUAAAAAGCUUAUUAAAAAAUUACAAAAAAACUAUAUUGUGGAGAAAACAAUAAACCUAACUAUUUUUUUUUAAAUUUAAAUAAAUUUAUUUAUUUAUUAUAUUUUUUUGUAGUUCAGGAUGACUUGAUUUUCAAAUGAUAGGAUGUAACGUUCUUAUAUGUCAUUAUGCUCAAUUUGUUGGCUUUCAAGGAGGAAGGACGAAGAAGAAAAUUUUUAAUAUCAUUUGGCAGUGUGUUUGUUGGAGCAUUUGAAGAGCUAGAAAUGAUGCUAUUUUUAACGGGAUCAAACUAGAGGCGUAAAGCAUUGUGAAAAGAGUUCAAUUUAGAUCAUGAAAGUUAAUUCAUUCUUUUUCUAUUUUUCUUUUGCUCAUUCUCUUCAUGAUUGGUGCUCUAGUCCGAUUGUAUGCAUUCCGUCUAUUUUUAAAUAAGGCGAUUUUUUGUAAUAGAAUUAUGGUGUAAGAGCAUCUCCAGCCCUUGGCGCUUAGGGGUGGCGCUAAGGUGGGGACCACCAAUUAGCGCCACCCCUCUCCAAUGUAUUAACGCUUAAAGUGACGUUAAAAUCUCUAUUUCCAAUUAAUCUCAUUUUUUACUCUUUUUAAUUUAGAUUUCAAGGCUUCUUAUCGGUGUAAGAAAAUAUCCAAAUCCCCUGUCGCCCAACUCAGAUCCUCUGUCAUAAUAUUUUCAUUGUCUACUGUUUGUGUUCAAUUUAUUUUUAUAAUAAAAAAUAUAACUCUAUAAUAUAAAAUAAUAUAAUUAAUAAUUACUUUCUCUCAAAAAGAAAAAAAUAUUACUAAAAAUUGAAGUUUAAUAAAUUGUGUAUCCUAAUUAUGGAAAAAAAAUAUAACAACUGACUGUCAAUGUAAAAAUUUGAAAUUAGUUGCUGAAAAUAAUUAUAUGUCCUAAUUAUGUAUAACCAAUCAUGCUUAAUAAUAUAAAAAUUAAACUAAAGCAUAGAAAAUUAAAAUUGAAGAAAAAAAUAAAAAUGAAAAAUUUAAAGUGAGAUGCAAGUGGAAAGCUGGGAUUAGGGGUGAGCAUCGGUUCGAUUUGGUGCAAAAUCGAACGAAAAAUCCAAAAUCAAAAAUCGAGCUGAUGGUUAAAAUUGGAACGGUACCGCACCAAUGGGUGAAACCGAACCGAUCUAAUUUUUUUUUUGUUUUUUCCGAAAAAACCAAUUAAAACCUGUAAAAUAAUGUAAAAAACACAAAUUUCAAAUGCAAAUCCCACAACAUAAUAAUACUUAGUCUACAAAGUACUAGUUUCAAGAUUUAAAACAUCACAAAAACACAAAUUAAGUUUCAAAGUUUAACAAAUAGCAACAUAACAAGUCUUAGCUAAAAAAAACAUAACAAAUCAAGAACAUAUAAUAAAAUAUUAGAAAAUAUAGAAAGAUAAAUUAAUUAAUAUUAUAAAUUAGAAAAUUAAUUAUAUAUUAUAGGUUAAAAAUUAGAAAAUUAAUUAUAUAUUAUAAAAUAUAAAUAUAUAAUAAAAUAUUAAUAUUUAUCGAUUCGGUUUGAUUUUAAACCGAACCAAAAACUGAAAACCGAAAUCGAACCAAAACUUAUCGGUUUUUAAUUUUCGGAACCGAACCAGUGGAAUCGGGACUGAACCGCACCGAAACAGAUCAGUUCGGUUCGAUUUUGCGUUUCGGUUCGGUUUCCGCUCACCCCUAAAUAUCAUGAUCUUUAAUCGAAUUCCAAAUUUAGCACGAGCUUAAAAAGUUCCAAUUUAUAUGGAUAACUUUACUUCGUGUUCAAUUUUAGCAUCGAUUUUUGACGUGGCUUGCCGGCACACGCUUAGAUCUUACGUGUCAUUGAUGUGGCUUGUCGGCACAAGCUACCACCCGGCGAACAAAACGUUGCGUUUUGCUCGCCAAGCUUUCUCUCUCGUCACUUUUCUUCUGGCUGGCGGUUGCAGGUGUCGAUCGAAGUCAGAAGGGAGGAAGACGGUGGCGAUGGCGGCGGUCCGGCUUACCGCUGCAAUCGGCUGAAGUAGAUGAGGGGGAGGAGGUUCCGGCGGUAAUCUCGCCGGAAAUAGUAGGAGGAGAAGCCAGGGUUUUUGAUUUGGGGAUUUUUGUGAUGAAGGAGAUAAGGGGGAUGGCUGAGAAAUCAGAGGUGAGGGAGAAUGAGGAGGGUGGCUGGCGCCGGUGACUUCGCCGAGGCAUAGGGCGGUGGCGACAGAGGUUAUCUCUCGAGGAGACGAGACGAGCUCCGCCGCCAUACUCUCGUAUCUCUCUCUCUCUCUCUCUCGUCUUUGCAGGUUCUUCCCUCCCCAGAACCACCCUCCUCCUCCACUGCGUCGCCUCUUCUUCUUUUUCUUCUUCUUCUUCUAUUUUCUUCCCUUCCCAGAACCACCCUCCUCCACCGCACCGCCUCCUCUUCUUCUUCUUCUUCGAUUUUCUUCCCUCUCCAAAAAAACCCACCUUCUCGCCAUGCUUGUCUUCUCUGAUCAUGCUCGUCUCUCUCUUACUCUAUUCGCUGCUAAAAAUUGAACACGAAGUAAAGUUACACAUUUAAAUUGAACAUGGAGUAAAGUUACACAUUUAAAUUGGACGCUUUUAAAUUAUAAAUUUUGACGUUUCAUUUGGAAGACACAUCAUUGCCACGUGGUUAUGAAAUUUCUACCGAAAAAUAAAUAUAUGCUAAAAUUGAACACAGAGUAAAGUUACCCCUAUAAAUUGGAACUUUUUAAGCUCGUGCUAAAUUUAGAAUUCGACUAUAAGUUCAUGAUAUUACAUGCAUUUAACCCUAAUAAUUAUAACUAAGAUUUGUAUUACAUAUACCACUCCGUAGGUGGUAUACAGAAUUCCUCAAAUUAGUACUAAUAUUUUGGACUUUUAAUUUAUAAAGAAUUGUGUAUUUCGUAUUACUUUUUAUCAAGCAAGAUAUUAAAAUAUCAUAAAUAUAUUAUACAUCCUAAUUACUUGUGCCAAACAAACCCUUGUUGUAGAUGUAUAUUACAUGUGUGUGAUUAAAUAAUGGUUGGCACAUCUCCUCAGACAAAAUUCUAUAAAAUAAAUAAUAUGGAUACAACAUAACAUCUCUCCCAAAUGUCAGACCAAACUCAAUUUUCCAGAAACACACACACACACACACACACACACACACAUAUAUAUAUAUAUAUAUAUAUAUAUAUAGUAGGAGUAGUAGAAGAAGAACAAUAAAAUAAAAAAGAAAACGAAACGUAAACUAACUUACUACGUACUACUUACGUAUUAUACUAAGNUAUAUAUAUAUAUAUAUAUAUAUAUAUACAUAUAUGUAUAUAGGGAGAGGUUCAAAUAAGAACCACUAAUAAAAUAAGAACAGAGAACCAUUUUAAGCCAUUCGAUCAUCAAGAUCUACGGUGGAUGCAUCAUCUUGGUGGAUGGAUGCAGAUGCUGGGUUCGAAUCCUGAAGGGAGCAAAAAAAUUAUUUUUUUUUGGAUCCCUUAAAUUUAAUAGCGGAUGCAUUAAUUUGUAUAGCAGAUGCAGUAAUUUUAUUGGUUCUUAUGUUCUCACGAUAAUUGUGGUUCUCAGUCUAACCGCACCCUAUAUACAUAUAUAUAUAUAUAUAUAUAUAUAUAUAUAUAUAUAUAUAUAUAUCAAUUAAUUUGGUCAUUUUGGAAAUAAUACUCCCUCCAUUUUCCAAAAAUAAUUAUUUAUUAUCAUUUUUAGACGUUCACAAAAAUUAAUUUUUUGUACUUUUGAAAACCUUUUAUCACAUGAUGAGCUCUUAUCUCCAUUUAUAAUACAUUUAAUUAUCAUUAUUAAUAUUAUAUUUUUUGUAGGACUCUUUCUCCACGCACAAUAAACUCAACUAUUUUCAUUAAAAUCCGUAUUGUUCCUUUUAAAAUUAUUUUUUGUGGACGGAGGGUGUAUAUCAGUAAUACUAGCUAGACAUACUUCAGUGCUUGCAUGUUUCUGCGUAUUAUUUCAUACUCAUAUUUCGUACACCUUAUUCCAUCAAUUCAAGUUUUUUUUCUUUUUCUUUUUCUUUUUUGAGGUAAAAAUGUAAUGAUAUAUUUCUAAUAAAGAAAUAGCAGUCUAAUGUUUAAACCACUUAAGUAUGGGUGAUAAUGAUUCUGCGUUUGUUUAACGAUCAAUCAUUUUUUUUUGCAAAAUAAGCGUUUAAUUCCUAUUGAGAGAUAAUUACUUAGAUCAUCUGCAGCGCUCGAGGGGGCGUGCCGGCUCGCACAGACUGCACAGUGUCGCGUGUGGGCAUGCCCCCCGGCUCGUGCGCGGUUUGAUUCAUAGUGUCGGGCACGUAGAUUUUAAAUGUCGAGCGCGUUAGAAAAAAUGAAAAAGUUUAAAUUUGUCGACCGUUUAACUGAAUUUUAUUUUUUUAUUAUUAUUUGACCGUUCGAGGCAACGGCUCUUUCCCUGUUUUUUCUUUUAAUUUCCUUUUAUUCUCUAUAUAUACCAUUUCUUCUCCACUUCAUUUUUCACAUUCAACACAUUUCUCUCUUCUUCCCUCAAUCUAUUGUCUCAUAUUUAGUACAAAAAAUGAAUCGCCAAUUCGAUGAUUACUACAAGAAUUACUCUCAAGGUAUAUGGGGUUCGCGCAUUUCUCUCAAUACUUGAAUAUUUUCUCCUCAGGCUUUUUUCCAACCUCGGCGAACCCACCGCCCAUCGUUGAAGUUGAAGGCCCGAAGCCAAAGUCUUCCAAGCCCCGCAUCAGAUACAUGUCCACGGAGACAAAGAUCAUCUGCAUGUUGUGAGCGGAGGCUACCCACAACUAAAUAUUGGGGACAAGCCAAAUGGCUAUCCAAUAUUGGGGAGAUAUCACUUAGAAAUUCAACAACACUAAACUUGAGGGUGCUAUUGUUCGUGAGAACAGGCAUAUCAAAUCCCACUUUCAACGCGUCCAAGAGGACGUCAAAGUGUGGGAAGCGAUCUACGACAAUUGCAAAGCCAAUUGGAGUAGCAAAAUGAGUGAUGAGCAAAUCACUCAAUAAAUGAAAGAAAUCUACAAGGCCAACAAUGGAUGGAGCCCAAUUCAAGCAUUUCAAAGCGUGGAUGAUCUUGCGCGAGUGUCGGUGAUUCGCAUCUCAAGGCGAGGAUGUGUACUUCUCCAAGAAGUCGAAGGACAGGCGACAACAACAUCUUUCGAGCCAAGUAUCACGACGAGCCCCAAGGCCAGAAAGCGGAAAAACGUAAUAAAGGUAAGGGGAAGAAAGUGAAAUCCUCGAUGGAGAAGGCGCAAUAAUACAAAGCACUGGAACACUUCGCACACGACAUCGAGGAAUUUACCACCUAAACUGGUUCCAUCGCCGAAGCAAAAUCCAAACAUGUUGAAGCAAAAGCUAAAGUUGUCGAAGCAAAAAUUUGAGAAGCCGAGGUGAGAAGGGAGGAGCUCGAUUUCAAAAUCAUCAACGCGGACACUUCGAAUAUAUCGGAGGCUCAAUUGGCAUGACACCAGAACAUGGUCCAAGAAGUGCUCAGGUAUAGAGGAUUCAUGUAGUGUAGAUUUAAAUUAUCUUAUUUUUUUUAAUUAGUGUUGAAUUUUGAAUUUUAAUUAUUUAAAUUAUUAUAAUUUUUAUUUUAAUUAGUGUAAUGUUUAAUUUUAAUUUUAAUGAAAUGUUGAAUUUUAAAAUAGAAGAAUAAAAAUGAGAUUAAUAGAAAUGAAGAUUAAAGGCCUUUUAUAAAAUUAAUGCACUGCACUAGAGAUGAGAGACGUUAAAAUGAUGACCACCUUAUAGCGUCUUCCUACCAUGGAUGCUCUUAGAGCUUCUCCGACGCAUAGGUGGCGUGCCGGGCUGACUCGGCACGCUGUGACAUGCAGCGUGCGCGCCCCCAUGGCUUGUGCUGGGUGUGAUCUAUAGUUCCGAUUUUUUGGAAGAGAAAAGGAGGGCGCGUGUACACCACACGAAAAUUAAAAGAAUAAUAAUAAUUGAAUUUCGAAUGUAAUACUCCAUUGUUUAUUUCUUGAAGUAUCCGACUUGUUAUGCAGAUAUAUCACAAAACGCCGAAUAUUAAAUUAUAGUAAGUGAUUUUUUUCUUCCACCGACUCUCAUUAAUUAACAUGUGGCAGCAGUUUUAUGAAAGUCAUGUGCAAUCAAAUGGAACUUAUACAAAUGGAGUAUUUAAUUUCAAAAGCUCUUGACAUUUAAGUCAAUAAUAAUUUUAAGUUUAAUUAUUUUAUUUUAAUUAAUAUAAUAUUUAAUUUUAAUUUUAAUAAAAUGAUGAAUUUUAAAAUAGAAGAAUAAAAAUGAAAUUAAAUAGAAAUGAAGAUCGCCUUUUAGCGUCUCCCCUUAGCGCCUCCCACUAAAGCUAGUAGGGCUGGGAAUUCCGGGUUCGGGUAAUCGGGUACCCGAUACCCGACCCGAAAAAAUCGGGUAUUGGGUACCCGAUACCCGAUUUUUUCGGGAUCGGGUACGGGUUCGGGUAUUUAGGGGUCUGCGGAAUCGGGUAUCGGGUAUACCCGAUCGGGUAUCGGGUAUACCCGAAUUACCCGACAUUUUUAAUUGUGAAAUUUAAACUCCCAAACUCCCAGCCCUAGCAAUUCCCCCAAUUCCCGAAUUCCCAGAUCCCUCCUCGGCUCCUCCCUCCCAAAGUCCCAAUUCCCAAACUCCACUUUCAGCCCUAAAUCCCUCCCCUGCUGCCGCCGCCCCCACUCCAGUCUCCAGGGCAGAGCUUCGCCCAGACCCUCGCCCAGUCGGUUCGCCGAGCUUCGCCCAGUCGGUUCGCCGAGCUUCGCGUCUCUCCCAGCCACGACCCUCGCCCAGUCGCCCCUUCGUUCCGCCGCCGUCGGUUCGCCGAGCUUGUCGCCCAGACCAGCCAUGCCAUGCCGCCGAGCUUCUACGCCUUCUCUUCUUCUUCUUCGAAUCUUCUUCUUCUUCUUUCUUUUUCUUUUUUUGGGUUGAAUUUUGGUGGAAUUUUGGGUUGAUUUGGUUGAUUUCGACUGAAUUGGCUCGAGAAUGGGUAAAACUUAUCGGGAAAUGGGGAAUUUCGACUGAAUUCAGUGGAAUUUUGGAUCUGCGUUGAAUUGGCUCGAUUUUGGGUUGAAUUUUGGUGGAAUUUUGGGUUGAUUUCGACUGAAUUGGCUCGAUUUUGGGCUGGGAAUUUCGACUGAAUUGGCUCGAUUUUGGGUUGAAUUUCAUUAUCGGGUAAUUUAGGGUACCCGAAUACCCGACUCGGGUACCCGAGUCGGGUAUUAGGGUACCCGAUUUCAAUUUCGGGUUCGGGUUCGGGUAGCAAAUUUAGGGUAUUUUCGGGUUUGGGUACCCGAUUUUUUCGGGUAGGGUACCCGAACCCGACCCGAUUCCCAGCCCUAAAAGCUAGCACAAUUUAAUUUCUUAAAACAUAAUAAUAAUAAAAAAAUAUGUUUAGUGAACCUUAUGAUUCAGUACAUCUUAAAUUAGGGGUAAGAUUUUGAAAUAAUUUAAGAAGUGACUUAUUUUUUAGGGGUUAUGGCUAAAAUACACGAAUUUUGAAAAAAGUUGUAAUUUUUUCACAUGAAUUUUCAAUCAUGCCAAAAAAUACAUGAAUUUAUAUUUUUGUUGCAAUUUUCACCUAAGUUUGACUUUUGGCAAAAUUAGAGCUUAGUUAGCAGUCGAAAAUUCACCAAAUGCUGAUCUAACUUAUGAUGAUGAAGAGUAUUUAAAAGCUCAGAGGUAUUUGGCUUAAUUUCGACUGUCAAUUAAGCUCUAAUUUCAUUAAAAGUUAAAUUUAGGUGAAAACUGCAACAAAAAUAAAAAUUCAUGUAUAUUUUAGCUUAAUUAAAAGAUUAGGUAAAAAUUGCAACUUUUUUUAAAAUUCGUAUGGGCUAUAAUUCUUUUUUUAAGCAGUGACUUUUUUUUGAUAAAUUAAUAAUAUUAAAUUAAUAAAUUAAAAAAUCGCAUUACAGAUUACUCGAAUUCAAGACCUUUCAUCUUAAACAUUACUACUAAACAUUGAGUUUUACUGCUACUGAAGGUCGCCCAUGUGGUUUCAGUUGCUGAUUCUAAUGUCUUAUAAUAUAAUUGAUCAAGACAUAAGGGACACAUUGGAGAAAUAAAUGUUUUCAAAGUGGGGAACAUAUUGGAAAAAAAUACGUUGCUGGUAGUUAUGCAGCUUUGAUUUAUGUAUUUAUAUUGAAAGCUUGCUUUAUUAUGCUAUGAUUAUUUAUGUUAUAAUUAAUUUAGACUAUGGUAUUACGGCAGCUCCAAAAGCUAAAGUACAAAUCAAUUUAAAAUCUUGAGACGAUUGAAUUUCAGAAAGUGGUUGAGUUUUGAUUGUCAAAGUAAUGAGCAUAUUAUUAUAUUUUGUACAAUGCUUGGGUAUCACAUUUUUAAUUUAUUUAACAAUUUAUAUACGAAUCGAUAAAGAAAAUUAAGAAAAGACCAUUAUAAUAUGAAUUUACAAAAAAAAAAUUGUAUAAUCGAAAAUAAACAACAAAUUAUAUUUCAUCACGUAUUGUACAACUAAAAGAUAUGUUCAAACGGUCAAUGAUGUUUAAUUCAAGUGACAAAAUUGAGACACUCAAAUACUCUAUUUCAUGAGAGGUCAUGGAUUCAAUCCCUCAUGCGUAGCUCAAGUGGCAAAGUUGAAGCACUCAAAUACUCUCCUUUAUGAGAGGUCUUAAGUUCAAUUUCCUCUGCAUGCGGUGUAAAUUUUUAAAUUUUUCACAUUUGUAUGGAUAAUGGUCUUGUCUGCAUAUGAUUAUUUUUUCAUCUUUAUGGAUAAUGGUCUUGUCUGCAUAUGAUUAUUUUUUCAUCUUUAUUUAGUAUAGAGGUUUCUCACCUACGUGUGGAUGAUUUAUUUGGUUAUAUAACUUUUUUAUAUAUAAAUUAUAAAAUUAAUAAAGAAAUUGAAAGACCAUGGAUGAUUUAUUUGACUAUGAUCCNAAAAGAGAUGGAGAAGAUAGGUGUCUAAUAGGUCAACAAAAGGACCUAUAUAUAGGCAUAGGGGAAAAACACAAUACAUAAUUCGAAAAUACUGAUAAAAAGCCCCAAAAUAUGCAAAAAUGCGAAGAAAACAGCGAGUUUGGUGACCACGACCGGCUCCAAGCUAAAAAUCCUUUUUGAGCUAGUGGUCGCCACUUGAUCGUCGUCGGAUCGUCGGUAUUCCGCUGUUGCGCGCGAUUUUCUUGUUUUGGCCAUAUCUUCUUUGUCUGAACUCUGAUUUGCGAUCCAUCUGUGCCCCUGAACUCGUAUCGAGAUGAUCUACAACUUUAUUUAGACCAUGCUUCCAAAUUCGGCUUUGAAAUUUCUGUAGAUUUCAUCAAAGUGUGAGCAAGUAUCAUAUUUCGCAAUAUAAAACAAUAUAAGCAUAAAACAACCAUCAAACACUCAAUUUUCUAUAAAAUUAACAUUAUGAGAACAUUAGAAAUCAUGGAAAAGUGAGUGUUAUCACACAUUCCAAAUUCAAAUUCCAUAUAUAUAUAUAUAGAGGUGGGCUAAAAUAAAAACAGUAUUUUUUGUAUAAAAUAGGAACCGAUCUCACCCAUUGAUUUGUCUAGAUCCUAUGGCCAGAUUUAAUCCCAAUUGAUAGCCUAUAUUUACACGUUUAGAUGCUGAGAGGAUAGGGAUGUCAUUUUAAUUAUUCAUUAUUAGUUACCAUAUCUUAUUUAAUUAAUCACAUUAUUGCCAUAUCAAAUCAAAUCUUCAUACCUUAGAUAAAUUUGGAUUUCACUUUUUCAUAUAUGCAGAACACAGAGCAGAUCGAAAAUUGAACAAAUCGAAAAUUACAUUGAACAAAUCGAAAAUUAAAUUGCAUGAAUUACGUGUUGAUACAUAACAUGUCAAAAAUUAAAUUGUAUGAAUUACGUUUUGAUACAACACGAAUUGAAUAUUAAAUUGCAUGCCUUACAUGUUGAUACAGCACGAAUCGAAGAUUAUUUUAAUCUGGUUCAUGAAUUGCUAAAAUAAUUCAUGCAAUCAAUUGUGUGAUUCAUUACAUGUGUGAAUAUCGUAGUCAUAUUAGUUAUGAAUUAUGUUUUGAUACAACACGAAUUGAAAAUUAAAUUGCAUGCAUUACGUGUUGAUACAACACGAAUCAAAAAUUAUUUUAGCAAUUCUUGAAUCGGAUUAAAAUUAUUUUAAUCCGAUUCAGGAAUUGCUAAAAUAAUUCAUGCAAUUAAACUUUUUAAUUCAUUUAAAAAAUUUAAUGAAUCGAUGAUUAAAUAACACACCGAAAAAUAAAUUUUUUAAAUUCAUUUAAAACAAAGAAUCGGACGAAGCCUCGUCGCACUCACCGGGGGGAUUAGAUUAGGUCUUCGCCAUUAACACAGAAUAUAAACCUCGGCUGCUUGUAUUUUUUCCGAUUAAACUUGUCUGAUUGAAUCCGCAGUGAAAAUCGAAAAAAAAAUAGGGAAGCAAUUACAACUCACGGUGUAAUUGAUUUACAUUGAUUGCACAAAAUAUUUUAAUAUGUUAUUUAAACUCCAACGUGAUUGCAAUCAUAUCAAUAUUGAAUUUCCAUAUUAAUUGGGCACUAUUUUAGGAUGAAGGUUGGUGCAGAUCACUAGCCGAUUUUUUUUUUUUGCCUAAAAUAGCCUCAAUCGAAAACUAUGCAUGAUUCAGUAGUGUAGUGAAUUUGAACCGACGAAUUAAUAAAAUUCUAAUCUAGACCGUCCAAUACAAUAGAUCAAUGGUUAGGAUUUAUUCCUAUUUUAUACACUAAGGGGUGUUUUCACCCUAGCCCAUCCCUCUAUAUAUAUAUAUAUAUGAUAUAUAUAUAUAUAUCGUGUAACGUGAGUACAAUGAAUAAGACAUAUAAUACUAAUGAUCAAAAUAUAUAUCUAAUGAACAAGAUGUAUAUACUGAUGAAAAAUAAAAAUUAAAAAAUUCGUAAUGAAUAAGACAUAUAUACUGAUGAACAGGGCCGUAUAUACUGAUGAAUAACAAAAUUUAAAAUAUUCUGCUCCCUCCAGGAUUCGAACCCUGCGAAAAAAAUCACCCUCCAGAUACAAUAUCAGUCAUAGGAUUGAUAAAAUAAAUGCACCAGAUCGUGCCCUAGAUCUCACUAAAAUUAGGGGCUCUCAUUGGAACGCCCCUAUAUAUAUAUAUAUAUAUAUAUAUUAUAAAAUUAAUAAAGAAAUUGAAAGACUGCACGACGGUGGACUCCAACCCAGAAUCUCGGGCCUUGGGUAUUAACAAUCUACUGCUAGGCCAACACAAGCACACAUAAAAAUAAGAAUAAUAUAUGAUGAAAAUAAAAAAUCAUAAUUGAAUUAUUUUUGUAAAAGAGUAAAUAUCACUUUUUAGUCCAUUGUUUGGGCAUUUUCUCAAAAAUAUCUCACCCUUAGGGUAAUUACAAAACAAUACUCAUCAUUCAUUUUUUUUAUUGUUUGUAGCCCACAAAAAUAAUUCGACGACCAAUAAUUGACGUGUUCCAACAAAUUUCCAUGUUGUAAUCUACGUGGAUUAAGAAAAAAAAAUACACAUCAACUAUCAUGGCUAUCUUCACACAACAACAAAAGCUUCCAACUCACUCACCUCCGCCGCCCCAACCAGCCAUUCCAGGAUCUGCCCCACUUUCCCGACCAUGAUCGUCGGCACCGCGUAGCCCACCACGUUGAUCGGAGUUGCCCCGUCCUUGAAAAUCUUCCCCCAACUCGUCAAGAGCUCCAGCAAUACAACUCCGAAAUUGUAACAUCAUUUUUCACUGUCAACACAUUCAGGUUGUAGUACUCGGGGUCGAUGUAUGCGACCGUGUUGGCCGCCUUCAUUGGUCGGUAAUCCUUCGGCCCCAUCAACGACAACCCAAAAUCGGAAAACCUAGUUGUCCAAUUCUCCUAUUCGAAUGCGUUUUUCAUUUUCUAAUUUCUUCGAUUAAUCGCGACCUCGUGGCCAUUGGGGAGCUUUCCUCUAUAAACGAUGCCAAAGCUUUCGGCACCGAUUCUAUUCUCGGCGACGAAGUUGUGUAUGGCUUCGGCGAGGGCGAAAAUGAGGAGGAGGAGGAAAGCGAAGAGCAAUUAGGAAGAUAGGCGGCAGAAGAGAUGACAGUUGUGCAGCGGGGCGACAAAGAAAACGGCGGUGGGCAGGGGGCGGGGUAGGAGGAAUGGGAAUAGGGUCAAGAAAGAAACGUUUUUGUUAAAUUCUGAAAUAAAAAACAUUUUAAAAGAUGUGGAAUUCAUGUUGUUGUUGUUGUUUUUUUUUUUAUUUAUUAUUACAUGAGUAUUAAUAGCAUGACAAUUGACCAGAAUACAUCAAAUAACGAUCGUCGGAUUAUUUUUGUGGGUCACAAAUAAGAAAAAAAAUAGAAUGAUGGGCAUUAUUUUGUAAUUACCCUAGAAUAGGACAUUUUUGAGAAAACGUUCAAACGAUGAGGUAAAAGAUAAUAUUUUUUUUAUUCGGGAAAAGAGCAAUAGUAUAAAUAAGAAAAAGGAGCCGGCACCAGAGAUGCCCAAAUCCGAAACACGUGCAACAACUCACUCAACAAAAGGAGAGAGAAGGUGGCCCUCACCAACAGAGAAAGAAACAAGAGGUCGGAGGGAAAAGACAAGAAAACUAGAUUUUCGCAUCUAAAAGCCAACUCCUAAAAGAUAAUAUUAAUCCUAAAAUCUAAUACAUAUAUUUCAUUGCCUUUGGCGUCGUGUUAGAUUUUAUUUUGUGUUAUUUUCAAAUUUUGUCUUACAUUUUCGAAAAAUAAAGUGGACACAAGGCAUUAGGAGGAUUCCAACAUACAUACUUCGAAUUUAAAGAGACAAUUUAUAAGCUAGUGACCACAAAAGUAUCUUCUCAUUGUAGUCUUUUGAACAUUAAAUUAGGGGGAUGAUGCGGCUGGUUGUGACCUUAAGGCACCAGCCUUCCCUGUAUUUGACCAUUCAAUCAAUAUAAAGACAUUUUUGAUAACUCAAAUCAAAUGGCCAAUUUCCUUUUGGCCAAUCAGUCGAAAAGGUCGACCUCAUAAAUUAAGUUAUAAUUAUAUGAGUACUAUUACUUUCAAUAUCAGAGUUUGUCCGUUUUUCAAAAAAUAUAUAAUAUUUUCAAUAUUGACAGGAUAGUUAAAUUUGGAUCGAGACAUUUUCGAAUAUCAAUUAUAAAAUUGUAUUAGUAAUCAGAAGAGUCGAUCGAUCUCAAAUGAGACCGAUUCUCACGGGAAUGUGUAUAUAUAUUUAUGCGUUUUUCUACAAAUCACUCACAGACUCACAGUAACCCUCUUAUGAUUAUCAUUCGUAAUGCGCGGGUUUAAUAUUCAGGGGCAACGCUUUUUAUUUUUUAUUUGAUUUUUAAAAUAUUAUUUUUUUAUAUCAAUGAUUACUUUUUUCUACGACAAUAAUUACUUUAUCAAAUAAACGAAGAGCCAAGUUCUCGUGAGUAAAAAUAAUAAUUAUCGUGAAGUAAAAUAAUGUUAAUUUGACAAACAUUACUUUUCUUCAUAUUGUUAUUUUUCAUCAUAACAAUAAUUACUUUGAAUCUCGCCUGCGUUUGCGGCUACGUUUUUCCACUUUUAGGUGAUGUUGUAUUCCCGCUUGCGUGCGGUGUAGCUUUUUCAUAGUUGUGUGGUGUUGACUGUUGAGGUCCCGCCUGCGCGCGGAUUGCAUAAUUGAGUAUAUUCAGAUAUUUUUUUUCUAAUUCUAAUUCAAACAAAAAAUAAUAAAUACCUACCUAUUUUACAUUCUGAAAUUCUAUCCACUAUUUGGAAUAACCUCUCAUCUUCCACUCUUAAAUUCCAUCUAGUAUUUUCAGUAACCUCUCAUCUUCGAAGAUGCUUAUCCUCGCAAUAAAGGAGUAUAUAUAUACACGCACAAAUUCUAAUAUCCACGCAUAGUUAAUGAUAAGUACAUUUGAGGAGGAUACUUAUCGAGCAACGGAAAACCAUAUGCUCAAAAAUGUAAUGGGGCACACAUAUUAAAGUGGGUGAAUGUGAUGGCAUCAAAAAAUGAAUUAGGUCGAAACUUAGCUCAGCACCCAAAAUUUACCCUUCAAUGUAUGUGUCGACUCAAUUGUAUAUAAGCGCACACACAGAGAGAAAAUUAAUGUGCGAAACACUAUGAUCCUUGAUGCUCUCGUUUAUGAGAAUGAGUCCCACCUAAAAGUGUUAUAACAAAUAAUGAGAGUCAGUCCCGUGCUAUGGUCUGUCCUGGGCGUUAUAGGCCGUAGCGGGUGGCGGAUCGAAAGUGUGAUAGUUUGUCAUAAUUCAUUCUAUAUAAGUUUGAGGAUGUGUUCUACCUAAAAUGUUACUCUCUUCGUCCCGUUAAUAAUGUUUCAAUUAUUAUGUUAGGAUGUCUCAAUAGUAAUGUCUCAUAUCUUUUCUAGUAAAAACAUAAUAAUUUAAAAUGUUAAUUACUCCCUACGUCCACCAAAUGAGUAUUCAUAUACUCUCUCCGUCCAAAAUAUCGUUUUGACUUUCGUCAUUUUAGUCCGUCCACGAUAUCGUUUCCACUUCUAUUUAUAGCAGUAGAGUCCACAAAUUUCCACUCACAUCAAUAGUGGGAUCCAAACUCUUCUCACAACAAUACCCACUAUUAUCAACUACUAUCCAUCAUUUUUUUAAAACACGUGUCGUCCACAAAGUGGAAACGAUAUCGUGGACGAAGGAAGUAUUUCCUUUUUGGUUCAUCCACCAAAUGAGUAUCAAUUUCCUUUUUUGAUAAGUAUACCUCACAUAAACCAUUCACAACAAAAAUGAGGCCCUUAUCCCACUCAAACACAUUUAAUCAAUUUCUUAAAACUCGUGUCACCCACAAAUAUAUACUCAUUUGGUAGAUGGAAGGAAUAUUUAACAGUAAGUCUACCUCACUUUAUACAUUAACUCACUUAAAAUCAUUCUUAAAUAUCCUCCAUCAACUCACUUUAUAGACUAAGAGCAUUUGCCGUGGUGAUUUUCCAUUUUAUCACAUCAUUACUUUUUUCUUGAAUGGGACUCACACGUGGCUUGUUUCCAAGCAAUCAAAACCGAUUAAUCGGUUUAACCGGUUAACCGAUUUACUGUGAGAGUGUUAACCGAUAAUCGAACCGAACCGGGAAAAAUCGGUUUUCGAUUAACCGAUAAUCGGUUUUUUCGGUUCGAUUACAUUUUUAAUCGAAAAACCGGCACCGAUUUACCAGCCCUACUCACGGCAGAUAAUUUCACCCAAAUUCAAUUUGAAUAAUCCACUAAUUAGGGGUUUAAGCAAAGCUAUAGACCAAUAAUAGAGUGAAAUAGGACAAUUUUGCCCGAAUUCAAUCUGAAUAGUUCCACGACUUGCUAUUUCUUACUACGAUAUCAAAUUGAAUUUGGACGAAUUAAAUUACCCGUCGUGAGACGAUUCAUAAUCAAUCUUAAAUUUAUAUAUUUUCUGACAAAAAAAAAGAGUCAUGAUAUAAAUAAGAAAAUUGGCAAACUUUAGGUAUUUUUCCGCCGUAACCUCUUUUAAAUAUAUUAUACAUUAUUUAUUUAUGUAUAGAUAAUACAGUUAAAAAAAUAGUUCAAUCUAGUCAGUCGACCAAUUUUAGAGCUAGAUUGGAUCGACCAAUUUUAGAGCUAGAUUGGACUAGUAACGAAAAAGUUCGAAUAUAAUCGAAAUUACUUUUUUUUAUUUUAUAAAUUUAUAAUAUUGAAUAAAGCAAUUAAAAGGUCAUAUCACAUGAGACUCAAACCCAAAACCUUUAGCUUCAGGCAUUAACCCCUUAUCGCUUAACCAACACACAAUCAAAAUUACUUUUUUUACAUUUGGAGCCAUAGGACUAGCUUAGGGCUUUUGCCAAGGCUUCUACUAUCAUUUUAUUCAUUUGGAAUUCUUUCUAUUCAAUGAAUAUGUCGGUGUGUAUAUGUAAAUUAUUUAAUUUGUAUGACAUGGCAUUUACUAAAAUUUAAAAAGCAAGCGAGAUUAGUAUAUACGAAAUGAUGACUCGGACAGCUUUUUGAUAUUCGAUCUUGUUUAAUUUGCGUAACAAUUUGUUAUUGGAUUCGAUUUUUCUUCAAAAGUUGCAAAUUUUCAAAAGUUUAUCCCAAUGAUAUUUUAAUCACAAAUCACCAACUCGACAACGUGUCAAUCUAUAAGAUUAUCAGAGCUUUGUUUUAAAUGUGAUAAUAACAAACAUAAUUAUUAUCUUAGGACCAUUAAACCACUAUAAUAACUAAUUAAACUAAUAUCCCAUCAUUAAAGCACGUUGAUUCAUAAUACUGAAUUAUGAUAUAGUACAGAUCGUGUCAGAAAAAGGACAAAUAGAAGAUUCUGAUAGUUCUUUUAUAGCUAAAAUAUAACCUUAGAAUUCCCUCAAAAAAUAUACUCCCUCCGUCCACGAAAUGAGUACCCAUUUAUGGACGGCACGGGUUUUAAGAAAGUUAUUGAGUAUGGUGUUAGUGGAAUAAGGGUCCCACUUUUUUAGUGUAUUAAUCAAAGGAAUGUGUGGGGUACACUUGCCUAAAAAGGAAAUGGGUACUCAUUUCAUGGACGGACGAAAAAGGAAAUAUGGGUACUCAUUUCGUGGACAGAGGGAGUAUAUAACUUAGAAUCUAAGAAAAAUCGCAAUUACUAUCAAGAUGCGUGGUAAAUAAAUUCCACUUAUAUGUUAUAGUCUGCAAAUUACAAAAAAAAAAUAAAAAAUCCAAGAAUGAUAGUAAUAUAAGUUAUAUACUUAAAAGGUUUCCGAUAUGAAAAAUAAAAUAAAAUUAAUUUUGUGAUAUUUUAUUUAAUUAGAUGGAUACGAUUCGAUAUUCAAUCUUGAACUAAUGCCAGGAAGGAAUAAUUUUGGCUUAUGAAUCUUGGUCUACUCCUAUAACAAAAUCAUUCUCAAAUUAACAAUUUUAAAUAAUUUUGGAUAAAUUCACUUUCAACAAUCGAACACCACUUUAAUUAAAUUCAAAUUUAAAAUCUUUAAUAAUAAAGUUUUAAUCUUUUAAUUAAGCUCUCUAAUAUAUACUCCCUCCGCCCCGUGAGUCUUGACACGUUUGGGUUCGGCACGAGAAUUAAGGAGUUGUAGAUUAGUGUUUUAAGUGUGUAAUUAAUAAAGUAUAAAAUUGAUAAAGUAGGAGAGAGAAUGUAAUAAAAAUGAUAAAGUAGGAGAGAGAAUAUAAUAAAGGUGAUAAAGUAGGAGAUAGAAUGUAAUAAUUAUUACCAAAAAAGGAAACGUGUCAAGAUUCGUGAGACGGUCCAAAAAGGAAAACGUGUCAAGAUUCGUGGGACGGAGGGAAUAAUUCUAUAUAUACUAAUAAAGUUAAGCUAUAAAUUCAUUUUAAAUAUAUAGUUCCUAUCUAGUUUGAGACCUCUAAUUAAAAUUAAAGUCUAAAAACGUUGAGUGAAGUAGAAUGUGAUUUAGUGUUUGCUUGUGGCCGCUUUUUGGGCCCCAAUUAGAGUUGCGUCGGUGCAGUGUGGAACCCUCUAAGACCGUGUUUGGGUGUCUGUUAUGCAUCCUCAUCAUUAUUCUUAUUUACCUUUCGAUUAUUUAUUUUAUUUUUAUAAUUUUAUUUCAAGGGGUACCUUUCGGCAGAAAGAAAGCAAAUUAAUUAUGAUCACUGAAUUUCAAUAUUCCAAUUAAUAUCCUAUAUUCUAUUUAGUAGAAUAAUAAUCUAUUCCAUGCUUGAGAAUAAUAAUACAUUUGUUUAAUAGGAAUAUAUACGUUUUCAUUUUCAUCAAACGAGGCAACAAGCUUAGACUGGAUGAUUUUGGGAGUUAAAUUCAAAAAGUCAAUACAAUUUUUGCUAGUAAUUUAAUAUGGGUAUUAGGAUAGACAUUAUCCACUUUUUUAUGGUGACCAAGUUUAUAAGGUUAUUGAUUAUAUGAUAAUAUUCCCUGGACGAUCAUGAUAAUUAGCUAGGAAAUUAAAUGGUUGACGAUGAUCUUUUUUCUUUUUUUUUUUGUGAGGGAAGUUGACAAUGAUCUUAAAUAUUUAAUAAAGACAUAAUUAUGUAUCUAAGCUAUAAAACCUCAAAACUUUCCAUUUAAUGACUACGCUUAUCCUUAUCCAAGAACACUCGCGUGACAAAAAAAAAAUCAAUGAAAUUAUUAAAUGAAACACGUUAUUGUAUUAUUAAUGCUUGCGCGUAUUAGAUAUUAAGGCAAAAUUAAUUGAUGAGAAAGGUGUUAAGUAUAAAGACGUUAGUUUGUCGAUCUACAAAUUAAUGCAGAUUGUUAAUUGUUAUGAAAUCACACAUUUAAGUUACUUUGGAAUUAAUAAUAUGAUAUUACCACAACUUAGUACAUCUGUUAGUAUAUAUUCUCUUUAUUUUAUAAGAGUGUUCUUAAUUUAUUUUUGGUGGCAUCGAUUUUAAUAAAUGUAAUUGUUAUGGUGAAGAAAAAAUUUACUUUUAUUAUAGUUUUAUGACAGCGAGAUACAAUAAAAUAAAUUAGUAUUUGUGUUGACUAUGUUUGAUAAAAUUGUAAAUAAGUUGAUAAAUAGAGAUUAAAAAUAAGCAAUUUAUGAUGGAGUAGUGUCCAAAAAUAAAAAAUGUACACUCUUAUGAGACGUUCAUUUCCAUACUAAAAUAUCAAAAAGUGCCUUACAAUUAUAUUUUUAUGAAAAAUAUAAAAUUUUCAGUUAUUAAUUCAAAUACUGAUCUGAGCAAAAUAAAAAUAAAAAUUUAUAUUUGGGUGGCGGCCUAAGUGGAUGGACUUUUCAAUUAUAUCAAAAAGAAAAUCCAUAUAUUUAUGAAAAAUAUAAAAUUUUCAGGUAUUAAUUCAAAUACUCUAGAGCAAAAUAAAAAUAAAAAUUAUAUUUGGGUGGUGGCCUAAGUGGAUGGACUUUUCAAAUUAAUAGGUAGAAAGCAGCAUACUGCGAUCUAUUUGUUCCUUACAAAAUAAAUUCAUAAUCAAUAAAAGUGGUUCAAAUCAAUUUAUUAUCAUCCAAAUCAAAGCCCUACAAUCCACAAACAAAAAACAUCGAGCAUAAAUAUAAGCAAAUAAUUCUACCAUAGCUAUUAUAUAUAUGAUUAUUUAUAUAUACAAAUAAUUCUACUAUAGCUAUUAUAUAUAUGAUUAUUUAUAUAUACGAAUAUUUGCCAUAAUUGUUCAAUAAGUGAAAGUUUUAAUUGUUAUUGAAAUUGUCACAUAUCCAAACAUAUAAAAUUUCGCACGCAAAAAAGUAAGUACAUAUACAAAUAUAAUAUUAUAGAACAUAUCAAAAGCAAUAAUGAACAGCACACCAAAAAUGAUUACCAAAUUUGGUGAUAAAAUACCUACGUUGAGGACCUCACCUUGGGUAAACGAUCCACUAAAUGAAGUUAAGAUCCAUUGUGGUCUAAUAAUACUUCAAUAAAUCUGUAAUUUCAAAGCUAAGUAUAUCCAUAAUAAUCGCAUAAAGAUAAUUUCAAAGUUAAUUGCUAAAAAUAUGUAAAUUGUAUAUUUUCAAUUGUCUCAAACGCAACUUAGUACAAUGAGUGAUAUUGUACAAACUUUAUAAAAUACAUUGUACAAACUUUAUAAAAUACUAUCGUUUGUCUAGAUCGUAAUAAUAUAAUAAAAUACUAAUUUUAUUUUAACAGUUAUUAUAUACAUAUGAAUAUUAUAUAGUAGUAUGUCUUUAUAUUAAUUAUCGUUCCACGUCACAUAAAAUUACACUAUGAUUUUAUUAGAUGCCAUGUGUCCAAAAUCGUUUGUUGCAUUGAAUGUCAAAAAAUAUCUGUAAUCAUUUCGAAAUGUAUUUAGAUAUUUUUGAUAAUAUAUACAUAUUUCGAUUUAAUAUUUUCUCUUAAUAGGACACUUCUUAAGAUAAUAUGGAAUUAAUAAAUGGAAAGUGAAGAUUCUAAAUGAGUGGUAGCGUCGUGUGUAUGACUUUGUAACAACAAAUGGCAACAUGAAAAAUUAAAAUGGUGGCGCACUCGCGACAAUAUUUUAUUUAAAAUUUAUCUUAUUUUUAAUAACCGUCACCACAGGAGUAUUCAUAAUACAAAAAAAUUAUUAUUUAUAUUCAGUAUCUAGUUAUUUACAACUUGACUAAAAUUAUACCCACUAAUUAUUAAAAAGAAUACACAGCGCUUCUCUCUCCUCUCUCUCUGUCUCUCUCUGUCUCUCUCUCCGAUAUAUAUACAUUGCAUUGUGAGUUAGGACUGAUUAUCAUCGUUCGUUGAGUUAAUCGUCACCAUAUAUACAAACCUUCCAAGAUUACAAAAAACAAUCAAGAAAUCCUUGUGUUUUCCUCGUAAAAAAGGAAGGAAAAUUUCAGUCCUUUUUUCUUGAUUCUUGAAAUUCUCCCCCUGCAGUUUUCGGUUCAUCCUUCAUCGAUCAUUACACAAACACAUUUCUUGUGAAAAUCACACAUUGUUUGUGUAAAUGGGGAGGAAGAACAGAACCUUAAACAACGGGAGAUUGUCAAGAAUCGGCAGCUACGCCAUAGCUUCAUCGAUUAAGGACCCCUCUUCCAUUUCCUGUACGACCUUCAACAUCCUCGCACCUAUUUACAAAAGGCUCAAUCAAGAGGUAAGAAUUCCAGAAAAGGGGUUCAUUUUUGUCGCCAAAUUAUGUUGGUUCUGGAAAAAAAAGUUGCUUUCUUGAUUUUUUUUUUGUUCGAAAACGAGCUAUUGCUUUACUAAGGUUUUUGUUGCCAAAUUAUGUAGAUUCUGGAAAAAAGUUGCUUUCUUGAUUAUGUAUUUUCGAAAAAGAGCUAUUGCCUUACUAAGGUUGUUGGUUUUUUGCAUUAAUUGCUAUACUGUUGUGUGUUUUGAGAGAAGGGCUUGAUUUUUGUUGCCAAAUUAUGUAGAUUCUGGGAAAAAGUUGUUUUCUUGACUAUGUUUUAUUCGAAAAUGAGUUGUUACUUUACUAAGGUUGUUGUGUUUUGCAGCAAUUGCUAUGUUGUUGUGUAUUUUUGGUUGGUUUUUGUUUGAUGUGUUGUUUAAAAUGUGGAUUGUGGGUGGUGUGGCAGGACCCCAGCUUCAGAGAAAGUGAUGUUAAAGAUCAUUGGAUGGAUAGAAAUCAGAGGAUUUUGAAUUGGUUAUUGUGUGAGAGAUCUUCCAUAAUCUGUCUUCAGGUUUUGCUUUUAUCCCUUGUUUGAUUUAUUUUAGCAGCUGUUUUCCAUAGAUUUCAUAUCUAAAGAUGUGAAUUUGAUCAUAUCUGGUGCAGGAAUUCUGGGUUGGGAAUGAGGAGUUGGUGAGCAUCUAUGAUAAGAGGCUUGGUGAUGCUGGUUACCUCAAUUUCAAGCUUGCUCGGACAAAUAAUCGCGGAGAUGGUACAAUUUUCAAUCCCUUUUCGUGGUUUGAAACAUUUUGAUUUAGUGUUUAUAGCCUCUGCAAUUGUGGAUGUGUUUGAUCAAAGUAGAAAUAUGGUGUAAUUUUUUAAUAUCACUUUCUUGUUUUAUCUAGAUAUGUCGAAUUCGGCCAUCUCUUUGCAUAGUGGCAUUUUCUUUGAAUUGCUCUUUGUUCUUGUUAUGUCAAGAAUUUUCCUUUUGGCGAUGUAUGUAUGGCUAAUGCAUCUGAUUUUUGCAGAUGUAUUUGGGAUUUUGAUAGGGAUAGAACAGGAACAAGAUGUGGAUCACAAGGUAGUGGAUGUCGUUGGAAUGCCUUUUGUAUUCACAUCUUGCUAGAAGAAUCAUUUAGAAAGCAAAUUAUAACUUCGUGUAAUUCAUCAUGGAUGAAUGGAUUUUCAAUCCUUUUUUGAUAAAAAUCAGUCGGAUUGAAUACUAGGCGCAGGAGUAACAUUUUCCUAUGUACAAAUCUAUUUGGUUUUUGCAGUUUAUGUAUACGUGCUCAUGCUUUCAUCUUUUUGAAUGAUCUAUAUUUCAUUUUUCAGAAGCUGCAUAUUAUAUUCUACUCUUGAGUUAUAAGACGCAGAUUUUUAUGUCCGAUUCCUAUAUGAAGAUUUGCUUUCUUUGAAUUUCUCAGGUUUGCUGACCGCCGUGCAUAAGGACUAUUUUAGGGUCAUCAACCACCGAGAGCUGCUUUUCAAUGAUUUUGGCGACCGUGUUGCUCAGUUAUUGCAUGUUGAACUGAACGCGCCCUUUUCACAAAAUCUGAACAGUCAUGUUCGUCAAGAACUUCUCAUAGUGAACACACAUUUAUUAUUUCCACAUAAUUCGAGUAUGUGCUUGGAGCGAUUGCGUCAGGUAUGCUCAACUCUAUACCAUAAAUGUCGUGUUUUUCAGAUCAAUUUUGUUUUUGUUUUUUUCCAGUUAUGGAAUAUGAUUUGUGAUGUUUUCAUCUGAUAGGUCUACAAAAUAUUGCAAUAUGUGGAAUCAUAUCAAAAGGAAAACAAACUUAAGCCCUUGCCUAUUUUACUAUGCGGGUAUAUAUUCCUCUCACUCUUUUGUUUUGUUCAUUUCCAUCUUAACAAGAGACGAAACUCAAGAAUGUUCUAUGCUGUUUCUUUGGGUAUUUCAGUGAUUGGAAUGGCAGUAAGAGAGGACAUAUUUAUAAAUUUCUCAGAUCUCAGGGAUUCGUAUCAUCAUAUGAUACUGCUCAUCAGUAUACUGAUGCAGACGCGCACAAGGUAAAUUCCCUUUAGCUUGAACUUUGAAGUUCCAAUUGUUUCUUGUGUAUUUGAAUUUUGUCGUUGGGAAAUUCUUACGUCUGGUGUCACACCUUCGUGCAGUGGGUGAGCCACCGUAACCACCGUGGCAACAUCUGUGGUGUUGAUUUUAUAUGGCUUCUCAACCCCAACAAAUACCGGAAAUUGCUAAAUGCUAGUUGGAGCGAGGCGGUGUUGGGGAUGUUCAAGGUGAGAUACCUAAAUUUCGAGAACGUGUAACUUUUUCCAACCUAGACAUUGGAUUUAUGUGCUCUUGCUCGUGUAUAGGAAUUUAGAAAACCCAACUUUCUUGUUUAGGCUACCCCUAGCCCCAUUUUGAAUUUUCCUAUUUUUCUUCAUAACAUUUAAAGUUGUUUGACGGUUUGAUAUCUCUCGUUGCAGUAUCAACUUAGGCGAGCUUCACUGACAGAAGAUGAUGCCUUUGCGUUUCUGAAGGCUGAUAACGACGGUGAUUGCAUCUCAUAUGCAGGCUUCUGCGAAGCACUGCGACAGGUAGAUAUUUCUUUCGUUAUAACAUAUUACUCUGAGUGUUUUUCAUGGAAGACUAAUGAAAUGUGUUAUUUGGGUGUCCUUACAGCUUAAUUUGAUCGGCCAUUGUAACGGAUUGAGCAAUGAGGAGAUACAGGGACUGUGGGUGCAGACCGACAUGGAUGGAAACGGUGUCGUUGACUACAAAGAAUUUAAGGUAUCGCUCUGCAUCCUUUUAGAGCGCGUUUGCUUUGAGUUAUAGAUUGGAUUUAUGAUGCAUAGGAUUGAGUAUUUGAGAGAUUACAUGAUUCAACCAGUUCAGAAUUGUUUGAUCCAUCAAAGUAUGUGUAUGCUGAGUUUUUGCCCCAUCAUUUUUGUCUGUUUCAACUAUUCACACUGCUAUUGAUUUUUCAGCAAAGGAUAUGGAACGCCUCAUGGUUCGAGCAAGGAGUCGAGGCGAAUGAGGAGGACUCUUUAGCCACAGACACGGAGCAGGCGAUUGGAUUCAGCGUCAAGAACGCUGUCCUCUUCCCCACAGAGGUAGAGAAAGGAAUGUGGCCGGAAGACUACUCUCUUUCAGACCAUGCUCGACUCACUGUGGUGUUCUCACCGGUCAGAAUGCCGUGCCCUCGACUGAUCACUUCAUGACACCCGUUGCUCGUUACCGGACUCAUGCAGGACCACGACCAACUAGAAAUCUCCGAGGCCUAGGGUUGUCGGACUGAACAAUCAUUCUGCCGGAAUAACCUCAGCAAAUCGAACCGGGAAGGGUUGUGAUGAGGUCUGCUGCAAAGCCCGGCAUCAUAUAUGGCGCCAGCUGCUUAUGCAACCACGGUACGCGCUCGUCCCGUCGCCUACGACUUCGUUUGUAGAUAGGAAUACCCCAGAAAAUUUACUACUCUAUGGAUGAUUGUCGUAAUAGGGAAACACAGCUCUCUCAGAUUGUAGUUUAGUGAGAUUGCAGCCUUAAACCUAUCUUACCUCAAUGUGCCAUUAUUUACUGUCAUUAACACUCUCUUUUCAUACUAUAUAAUAUAUUUGUAAUAUAUUUUUUUGUAUUCUGUAAUGAGGCCUUCUCUUUUAUACAAUAAUUUAUAAUUGAAAUUAUUUGAUCUUUUGAGAUAUUUUCAAGACCCUCUAAAAAGUGAGUGGGGUUGUCAACAACUUGCAAUAUUAGCAAUUAGCAUUAAAGCUUUUCGCAAAAGGUGUAAAGACAAUUAGUUUGUUACAUGAAAAGAACGUUAGCACGCAAUAGAUAUAAAGUUAAUUUUUUGGGAUGAAAAGAACGUUAGCACGCAAUAGAUAUAAAGUUAAUUUUUUGGGAUGGAGAUAUGUCUCAUUUUUUUUUGCUAUUUUCUUACUUUAAACUUUAGAGAAUGUCAAUUAAAAAUUCAUAGUGGAAUACGAAGGAAGAUGACAAAAUAUUAGUUCAUGAAAUAAUUCAACUCUCCUAGAGAGAAAAUUAACCUAAUGGAUUGGCAUCUAUCACUCAAAUAACAAGUGUAUCACAGAUUCACAAGUCAUAUAAGUUCAUGCUCAUAUUGGAUUAUAUAUUUGUAAUUUCACUUGGUGUGUUGUAAUCUUUGAAUUUGUAUUAUGACGCGUCUUACAAAUCAUAACAUGUAACACCGACUAUGAAAGUUUUUCUAAUUAGUUUUAGUAAAAUAUUUGUAAUUCAAGUUUUCAAAAGAAAGUUAAUUAUUUGAAGUUAGAAAUUAACCGAUAAAGUCUAAUUCAAUUGGCAAAGCUGAUGGGCAUCAAAGACUCUCCUUAACGAAGAAGUCUUUGAUCCAAUUCCCACCUAAGUAUGGAGUGUAGUUUCACUGGUCCACUACAUGUGGAUACGUGGUCUAAGCUUAAGAGUAAGAGUUCUUUUUAUUGUUGAUUUAAUUGUAGUUUUCAGCACUAUCUUUUUUUCUCAGCGACUUCUCAAUUCUUGCAAAACUUCUCUCUCCGAUGAGUUGAUCAAUGGAAAUAGACUUACUGUUAAUUUACCUAAUUUGAUUAUCAGAUGAAUUAUUUGAAAUUAUUUUUAAUAUGUUCCUUUGUAAUUCAUGAUAUGAUAUAUCAUACUUUUUAUAGAUAAAAAAGUCUAUUAGGUUAGAUGGCAAAUAAUGUGCAAAUUUUAUAAUUUGAACACAACAUUUGAAGUUGCAAAUUGCAAUUAUCUCGUCGCCUUUCAAUUUAUUGCAAAAUUAGCCUUUUGAUUCAAUUCAUCAACAAAGAGUUUGAUGUGGCAUGCAAAAUUUUCACGUUCAACGUUCAAUGCAUACAUUUAUCCCCUACGUGAAUAUCUUGUCCACGUCAACUCUUCAAUUAUAGAAAAAAGUUAAAAAUGUUAAUUUUACAUUAAAUUGAAAAAUAAUGUCAUUAUUCACAGUGAAGCUGCCCACCUCAAUUUUCUCGAAUUUUAUUUAUAACUACCAUUUUGUUUUUAAUUACCUUUAAUUAGGUGUAAAAUUACAAAAUUAUAUAAAUAUUGCUAUAAAAAAUUGAAAAAAGUAGGGACACAGAUAUAAGUAAAUCUUCCCCUUCAAUUAAUUUUAAGAGCUCAGCUCCGCCGGCGCUGAUUAUGAGAUAAUUCAAAAAUUAUGUUAAAAUCAUAAAAUGAGUCAAAAUUUGUUUACAAUUAAUCCGUCGUAGUUUGAUUGAUCUAAUCUAAUUACGUAGCACUAACGCGUUUACCUCACACCAAAAAGUAAAAGCAAAAGCAAAAGCUAUGUAAGAAGCACUUUAUUAAUAAAUCUCUUCACCGCCCAAAAUCUUUUCCAAAGUGCAAGCUGCAGAUUUUCUACUACAAUUUGACCACCCUAUUCAAAUCGAGGGAAUCUUGCCAAUAUUCUUUUUCAUUUUAUUUAUAUAUAACUCUAUAUGUCUUGCCAUAUACCAGUAUUUGUGAAUUUACAAUCAUAUUCUUCAAGUUACUCUUUUGGCAACUACGCCAUGAUAUUGUAAUUGUAACAAUAUGGAGUAUUUUUUAAAUAUAUGAAUACAUAUAUCAUACAUCGCCUUAAAUAUAUUCAAAUAACAAGACCAAUCUAUCAAUAAAUUACUUGCAUAUUAAUCAAUAUGAUAUCUACGUCGUGUAAUGAUUGAAAAAAAAAAUGAAAAAAGAAUAUAAAACAACGCAAUGUCUUUAUUCCUUCAAUUAAAAGGUCAAAUAAAAAUGUGAAAUGACUUAAAACAAUGGCAAGAUAACUAGAUUUACCUUAUGUCCAGUAUCACGGGUCCGUUUCACCCACAUCCACCGAAAGGGAAAUCGAUUUGAUGAUUUGCAGUUGUCGAGUAUAUCCAUUAUUAGUGCAUUUUAAGAAAGCUCGACCACUAAUUUUCGAUUUCUCAACUCGUAGUAGUCAAGCGUGUCGAACACUAAUGCAUUUACCAUUAAUAUUUGACUCGUAAAGAUCGAGCACGUCGAUCACUAGUGCAUUGGUAGAUCAUAUCGAGCAAAGUUCUCGAUUUGAAUAAGAUAAAAUUUCGAAUUUAUUUAAGUAAGAAUAAUUUUGUCCUUUUGAAUUUAAAAUAAAUAAUUUUUUUAAUGAGUAUUUUUUAUUUUUUUAUCUUCAAAAUGAGUAACCACAGCCAAUAACCCUUUUAAUUUAUGAAAAAUGUUAUAAAGUGGAAGAUUGGAGACACCACCAAAUUGGGUGUCAACGGCUUACCUAAUGAUCUAAUCAAUCUUUUGAGAUUAAGCACUAAAAUAUUUUUGUAGUUGUAUAUAUACGAUUAAAUAAAUAACUUAAAACUAAAAUAUGUUGGCCUUUUGCCUUGGGCAGAAAGACAUUGACUUGUGCACCCCUUUUUCAUAGCUUUCACAUUGCAUUGCCCAAUUGCAGGGUAGUGCUUAAUAUGUUUCAAAUUCUUUUGAGACAAAAAAUGUGAACAUCGUCUCUCUUUAUCUCUACUGCUUCGGUGAUUAUUUUUUUUUUUUGCUUAUUAGAAUAUUUUUUUUGUGAGGAAUAAUAUAUUAAGGCAAUAUGAACAUUGUUCAAUGAAUUCUGCAUUUUUCUUCUUUCAGAUUUUAGAGCUCGUAGUUUUUAUAUUUGAUGGCUACGAGUUCGGAGUUUUUCUUCUUCCAGAUUUUAGAGUUCAUAGUUUUGAGAAUAUGGUGGCUAUGAGAUCAUAAUGAUGUAUCAUAAAUUUAAUGCAAAAAUUAGGGUAAAAUAAUAUAUUUAUUAUUUUUUUUAAUUAUAAUUUUUAGAAAGGGGCUAUGAAAAGUAAAAGCUAGGAAGGCUAUGAAUAGAAAUACCCGUAUAUAUUUUAUGCUCCGAGAUCAAAUAUUCAAGUGAAAACACCCACUUUCAAGAAAAAUAAGGUGAUGAAGCCAAAUAGUUAGAUAUACAUAUGUUUUAUUCGGAAUAAAGAUAAAUAACAUCAUUAUUUAUAAUUACAGAAAUCUAUAAUUAAUCAGUUUGAACAAGUUAGUAGACACGUUUGACUAUUUUUUGUUUAUAAUUGUUCAUAUACUCUACAUCAGUUUCGACCGAAAUAAUAUGUUGGAAUCAACUUGAAUAACUCAACUCAAAGUUACUAUAAUAUGAGCACAUAGCUUACUAGUAUUCCUCUCAUUUAUAGAAGUGAGAGAUUAAGAUAUAAAUCUCAAUCCUCUAAUUUCUCAACUAGAAAAAAAAACUUAAAAAUUAUACGAUACUAUAAUAUAGCCUUGAUGAUAAGCUAUAAACCGCAUUCAUAUUUCCAGAACUUAAUCAACCAUAAAAAUGUAGGAAUUGAAGAACUACAACAGUUGCAAUUACAGGUAUAUUUAGUUACUCCUUCCAUUAUGUAAAAAUAAUUCUAAGAGGAAGUGACACGAAUUUAAAUAAAAGUGAUUAAGUAUGUUAUGAGUGGAGAAAUGAUCUCACCAUAAAUAUAGUAUUAUUAAUAAUAAUUAAUUAUAUUAUGCAUGGGGAGGAGAUCCCAUUAUAUGGUAGAAUAGAUAAAUAAGUCCAUAUAAAAAGAUAAUCUAUUAUGGAAUGGUGUCUAUAAAUAAAUUAGAACUAUUUUUAUAUGAGGAAGGAAGUAUACUUCUUAUCAUCUGUUAAAAUAUUAAUUACGGCGGUUAAAGUGGAAAAGGGCAAAAAAAGGUAAAAAGAGUAAAAAAGCAGGGGUCCACAGGAUGUGGUCACCUGAAUGAUUAUGUACUGAAAAUUGAAAAGGACAUGAAACAACUGACCCCAAUUAAACCACAGGACUUGACACGUGGAGAUUCCUCAUUGGUUGUAUGACUAUGUUACUCUCCAACUUCUAGCUUCCUCGCUACGACUUGACGAAUUCCCCAAUGUACCCCCCACUGAAGUUUCUGUGUGCCCAAGCCGUUUUUCUCAUUUUCUUUUUUUCAUUCGAGCCUAUUUUACUUAUAUAUUCUCCUCCAUUAAACCAAAAUAUGAAUACUAUUAAUAUCUCAAUUAUUAUAUUGGGACAUUCAAUUAAUAAUAUCUCAUACCUCCCAUUCACAAAAAAUAGUCAAUUUUUGUUAUUUUAGAAUAUCCAUAAAAAUUAAUCUUUUUUCACUUUCGAAAUUUUUUUAUCACAUGGUGGGCCUAUUUUUUCACUCACAAUACAAUUAAUUAUUACUCCACUUAUAAUAAAUAAUUAUUUUAUUAUAACUCCACUCACAUGGUGGGCCUAUUUUUUCACUCACAAUACAAUUAAUUAUCACUCACAAUACAAUUAAUUAAUUAUUAAUUAAUUAAUAAUAAUUUUAAGUGGGACCCUUUUCUCCACUUAUAAUAAAUAAUUAUUUUCAUUAAAACUUGUGCCAUCCGCUUUUAUGACUAUUUUUUAUGGACGGAUGGAGUAUUAUUUUUUAAUAGAAAAAUUAAUUAUUUAAAAUGAUAGUAACAAUGGGUGCAAUUCACUUUAUACACCAAUCACUUAAAUUCUCUUUCACCAAUUUAUUUUAUACACUAAUUAUAUAUUUUUUUUAAUUAAUGUGCCAAAAAUUAUUGAGAUAUUACUAAUGUGACGAGAGAAUAUUUGUAUGAUUAAAAGAUGACGCAGGUUAAUGAAUUUGAUAAAUAUGAUCAUACUUAUGUUUUUGUUGCAAAAUUAACAUAAAAAUUGUGAUAUUUUUGAUAAUAUUGUAUUUUUUUUCUAGCAUAUGAUAAUAUUAUAUUUUUCACGCCAUCGUUUAUAGUAAAAUGAGAAUAAAAAUAAUUAGAAUGAUUUUAAUUUAUAUUUAUAUUUUGCAGAAAUUUAACGGAAAAUAUAUUCACCAUAACCACAAUGUUAUUUUUUAAAUGGCUAAUUAUUUCUAUCCAAAAUUACAAUUUAACGCGAUUUUUUAAUUGUUGCAAGUAUGAUACUACUAUUUAAUUUUUGCAACAUUAAUUUUUUCUUGAAAUUUAUAUGAUCUACUAAAACGACAUCAUUUCAUUGUUGAAAUGAUAUGGUAUUAAUUACCUCUCAAAAAAUUUAAGAAUAUUAUUAUAAUCAUAAAAUUUUUAUAGUGAUGUUAAUAUUUUGAAAGUUAUGUAACGAGUGAAAAAUAAAAGCAAAAAUUAUGUUUUUUUUAUCAGAGAAAACAAAUUUUAAUUAAUAAAAAACAGAACAGAACACCAGGGACCAGAGGUACCAACUGUACAGAACAUAGGUGGAAAAACAUUGGGUAGGGCAAAAGAAAUAACCCCAACCAAUACAACCUCACCCCAACCAAUACAACAUCACCAAGGAUCACCAAAAAACGGACAAUCCAAUCUCCAAACCAAUCACCAGCCCACAUCUGAAUCAAAAGCAAAGUACCGAAAGAAGGUCACAAACUGGAUCAGCAGCUGAAACCCAAACUUUAGCAGUCAAAUCCUCUAACAGCAACAAACCAUCUUCGAAACUCUUGCUCCUGCGUUGGUUGAUUCAAAUUCGAGCGCCAAACCCACAAUCUCGCCUUAAUCUCUGCCAUCACUCUUUCUUUGUUCCAACUUCCUUGAUUGAAGAUACAAUUGUUUCGAAUCUUCCAGAUGCUCCAAAUCACACACAACCAAACUCCAAGGAAGAAGUCCACAUCCUUCUUGCUCCCCAAAUUCACGAAAGCAUUGAAAUGUGCUUUGGAUUUAAAAUGAAAGACUGCUUGUUUACCUGUCCAACGUAAGAUUUCUUUCCAGAUUUCGUCAGUUUUAUGGCAAAGGAAGAAGAGGUGCUCAAUGGUUUCUUCUUUCAACUGGCAAAGGGGACAUAAAUCAACCGCCGAGUGUGUCACCACUUGUCUCCUCCGAAGGUUGUCCAUCGUUGCGAUUCUGCCUUUAAGAACCUUCCAAGCUGUGGCGAUGACCUUGGCUGGAACUUGAGCUUUCCAGAUCAUAGCCAACUCCUUUUGGACUCCGCAAACAUUCGACCAUCUCCUGUUUUUGAAGAAUGUCUCAUAGGCUGUCUUGACGGAGAAGACACCGCAACCUGCUGCCUUCCAUCUCCAAGCGUCCAUUGUACCUGCAUUCAACUGAAUCUUGCAAACACAAGACCUUAAAGCACGAAGUUGCUCCAGAUCUCUUUCCCUCAAAGUCCUUUCCCAUUCGAAUUUCCACUCCCAAGUUCCUUCAUUCCAUUCCCCCAUGCUACUAACUACACCCUCUUUGUUGGAGUUGAGAUGAUAUAAUCUCGGGAACGAAUCAGCCAGAGAUUUCUCCCCCGCCCAAAUGUGCGUCCAAAACCUCACCGAGUUCCCAUCUCCAAUCACUCGCUCAAGAUUAUCUCUCACCCCUUUUCCCACCUCACCCCUACUCAGUCCCACCACUUUCCUCCACCAAGCCGACUUAAUCAAUUUAUUUCCCUCAGCCCUAAAACCCUCUCCAAGUCCCCAUGGCAAGAUUUAAACACCUUCACCCACAACAAAUUUUUUUCUGUCAAAAAACGCCAUAUCCAUUUGGCCAUAAGAGCCGAGUUAAAACCCCCCACAUCUUUAAAAUUGAGCCCCCCAAAAUCCAGACCAACACAAAGCUCCUCCCAUUUAACCCAAUGGAUCUUCCUCUCUCCUAGACUCCCCCCCACAAAAAAUUACUCAAACAGACCGCAUCUCAGCUAACACACCUUUUGGAACAAGAGAAAAAGAAAGAUGGUAUACCGGAAUGGAUAAAAGAACUGAUCGAAUCAGGGUGAUUCUACCAGCAAACGAGAACUUCCGUUUUUCCCAGCCCUUGAUUUUGCUCUUGAUAUUAUCCACCACGUACUGCCAUUCCGAUUUCCGAGAAAGCCUUGUCCCAAUCUUAAUUCCCAGAUAUUUAGUGGGUAAAGCACCCACUUUACAUUUGAGAAUGCCCGCCAGAUCAUCACUUCUGAUGGCUGGGAUCCCCACUCCAAUGAGGCAACUCUUGUCGAAAUUCACUGUAAACCCGAAAGUAGUUCAAAAGCUUGAGAACAUACUUAAGGCUCUGACAUUCCCCUAUUUGUUAAGACAACAUUGUAUCAUCGGCAUACUGAGAUGUGAAAUUCGAAUGUCAUCUUUCCAAUCUUAACUUUUCAAUCAAAUUCUUUUGAACUGCUCUUUCCACCAGAAGUUCAAGCAUUCAGCUGCGAUCAAGAAAAGGAAAGGUGAUAGCGGAUCACCCUGUCUAAGCCCUCUACCAAGUUGAAAUUCACCUGAGAGACUGCCGUUGACGAGGACAUUUGAAGAUGCCGAGGUGAGACAUCCUUUAAUCCAUGACCUCCACCUAUUACUGAAAUUCAUCUUCUGAAGCAUAUCAUCAAGAAAGCCCCAAUCGACCGUGUCAUAAGCCUUUGUGAAAUAUGCUUUGAAUAAGACCAGGCCUUUUUUCUUCCUCUUGCUAUCAUCAAUAAUUUCAUUAAGGAUAACAACGCCGUCCAAAAUGUACCGCCCUUCGAUAAAAGCACUCUGACAAUCUGAAAUAACACAAUUCAGUACCUGUUUCAUUCUGGCAGCCAAAACCUUCGCGAUCACCUUGUAAAGGCAGUUGAUAAGGGAGAUCGGCCUGUAAUCCUUGAGCUCUGACGCCCCAUCUUUCUUUGGAAUAAGAACCACAAAAGAAGUAUUGCAUCCUCUUGCUAAUUUCCCAGAUUUGUAAAACUCUUUCAUUAAUUUGCACAGGUCAUCUUUGAUAAUUUCCCAACACCUUUUCAAGAACAGGAAAUUAAAUCCGUCAGGUCCAGGACUUUUAUCGCCAUCACAUUGCCACACCGCCGAUUUGAUCUCCUCGUCUGAAAAAGGAGCAUCGAGGCUAUCUCUGAUCUCAUCCGGAGCUUCUUUUGGCCAAAAUCUUCCGGAAGAGCCGGACUUCUUCUGUAAGUUUCCUGGAACUGAAUUUGGAAAUGAUUUUUAAUGGCUUGUUUCACCACCCUCGGAUCGUCUGACCAGCUACCUUCCACCAAAAGGCCUGAGAUACCGUUGAUGAUUCUUCUAGAUUUGAUUGCUUUAUGAAAGAAUUUACUGUUGAUAUCUCCCUCCUUCGCCCAUCUCACUUUGCCUUUUGGGCCAACAAACUAUCUCUAUCUUUAAGAUGAGUCAUCAAAGAAGCUUCGGCCUCACUUCUUUCAAUGAUUUCUUCCUCAUCAAGACCCAAAGCAUCAUCAAUAAAGUCCCAUUGUUGUAUUGUAUCCCUCAGCGAAGAAAUUUUCUCCUCAAUUCUACCAAACGAGGUUUUAUUCCAAAUCUUCAAGUCCUCUUUCAACCUUUUCAAUUUUUCUUUAAAAACAAAACAACCCCAACCUGUAAUACCUCCCUUUUGCCAUGAAUUCUUGACUACCUUCUCGAAAUCGGGAUGAUUUAGCCACGCGUUGACAAAUCGAAACGGCUUUGGGCCCCAAUCCACUGCCUUUGUCUCCAUGAUAAUUGGACAAUGAUCUGAAACUGUUCUCGGCAAUCCUCUCGCCGUGGUUUGACCCCAAUUCGACAUCCACUUUUCAUUAACCAAAAAACGAUCCAAUUUUGAUUUACAACCCCCUUGUGGUUGAUACCACGUGAAUGAUCUCCCCUCUAGUCGAAUAUCUUCCAAAAUAUUAUCAGAAAUGAAGUUUUCGAACCCCUGUAAUUCUCUCGCAGAAAAAUGGUUCCCUCUGUGAUUAAAUAUCAACCCUUUAAAAUUCUUGUAUAAUACUAUUGCAGUAUUUUCUUUUAUUAUUUAACUUUUUUUUUUGUAAGCGGGACUAUUGCAGUAUUGUUUUGAUCAUUCGACUUUAGAUUUCAUAAUCUCAUUAUUUGUGUUGUUUUCUUGUUUUGCCAAUUUCGUCGUCAUAUGUUUGACAAUCAAGUAAUUGAUGACACCAUGAAAUUAUAAUUUUAUAAUAGUGUUGCAAUUUCGAACAUUUAUUUAACGAUAAAAAUGUUAGCGUAAGAAAACAAUUCAAAUUAUAAGUUUCAAAGACUCUAACUCAAUUUUGAAUUUCGAUAUAAUUAUGAGUUAGUGCAAUUUUUUUUAAAGGAAUGAAUUUUCUACAAAUUGAAAGAUUUAACCUUUAAUAUAACGUUUUAGAAAUUUUGUUGAUUUACAAAAAUAUUGAUAAUAGGAAUUUAAUUUGCAACUAAAUCAUUAUUAAUUACUACCAAGUAUUGGGAUUAUAUGAAGAUUGAAGAGGAGGAGGAGUUUGGAAUACGACGUAAUAAUGAGAGCAGCACAGUAAAUGCGAGAGUAGGAAAUUAAAAGAGAAAAGCUAAAAAUGGGGGAUGAAUGACGGAAAGGCCCCUGGGAAAUGAGAUAUUGGCAAGUGGGUGACAGAAUAAAAGGAUGAGCUGUAUGUGAGAAUUGGGGACCACCGUCACUUUGUGUGGUGAAUCAGUCCAGCUCAUGAUUAGAGCGUGGCGCUUCUGCGUCUCCUCUUUUGCUGCCAUGUGCACCCGUCGUAUCUGAUUCUUUCCACUCCUUCCUUCACACUCACAACUCUCAACAUUUACGAGACCUCAUAAAAAGAAGAAGAAGUUAAAAAACAUUUACGAGAGCUCAUUUUCACGUUUUUUGAUUAAUUUGUUUUUACUUGUCUAGGGAAGAAAUUGUUUUAUAAUGUUUAGGAUUUGUGUAUGAAUGGCUGCUACAAAUGGAAAUGGUAAUAAUAUUGUGUACAAACCAAAACAGCAAAAGUGAUAAUGAUAUUGUGGUCGCAGGGAGUAAUACCCAAUCUCACCCAUCAUCUUACUCUAUGGUCCAGAUUUUCUGACGGGUGUUGAUUUCAUUAUAGAAAUGGUAUAAUUGUAAUUUAUUUUGUUAUAUGAUAAAAAAAUAUACAUAUUGUCAAACAAAAAUUUGCAUAUAUGAAUCGAUUGAACAUAAAUUUGCAUACGAGUAUACACAAAUAUACAUAUGAGAUUAAUUUUUCUAAAUGUUAUUCUCUUACCUACACUGUUUCCUAAUAACUUCCUAAUGCGAAGAAACCAAUGCAUCAACAAGAAAGAAAUCAAAUUAUCCAUAUGAGAUUGAUUUGAUUGGGUUUUAAAUGAGAACAGGUGAGAGAUAUUCGAGAAUGAGAGACAUGUUACAUGUUUUUGUUUUAACAUAUAUAAAUUUAUGUUGUGUAGUAUGUAAAUUUCUAUUUUAUGUCAUGCAUGUUUCUUUUUGGUGGUGUGCAUGUUUAUGUUUUAAAGCAUGCAUGUAUUUUGUUUGCAAAUAUGCAGAUUUAUGUGUAUUUUGUUCUGCCACGUCUUUCUCCGAAUUCCUACAAAUUUCGAAGUAAAUUUCGACCUUCUCUCUCGAUCGCAUCCUUAAUCUACUCUCACAAUCAACUUCUCAUUUUUCUUUAAAUUUUCAUGUGAGAAUUCAUCACUAUCAUCGGCCACCAUCAUUUGACACCUAUGAGCAUGUAGCAGGUCCUUGUGGCCGCCUCCACCAUACCAGCCUCAACCACGUAGGUGCUUCCAACUGCUUUCUUAUAAAAUAGGAGAUGAAAAAGAGAUAUCUUUUAGGGAAUCGUAAAUUUUAAAGGAAAUUUUUUUUUUGGAGAAAUAGAAGGAUUAUUGUUGCAUUGAUUUUUACAUUUUUGCACUGUAAAUUUGUUUAAAAAUAAUAUUAAAAAAAAAACCUCUACAUUGUGUUACAUUUAUAGUAUAUCCACACAUGAACAUGAUAUGUGGUUCAAAUUUGAUAUUACAUGCUAAGGAUAUGGUACCAUCAAAAUCUAAUUAUGGGUAAAGAUAUAUAAAUGUAAACCCUUAGUUAAAAAAGCAUUUCAUCUUGUUUGUUAGAGUUAUUUUAUGAAUCCAAUAAUAUUGAUUUUGAUUAUUGAAUUUUGCCUUCUUUAUCAAAUAUUAUUCCUUGUUUAUUUUGUAGUAUUUGGCAAUUUUUUAACAAUGAAAGAUUGACGAGCCCAAAGUUCUUUUAGGUCCGUAACUUUGGAUGUUUUGUAAAUAUAGGACAACUUUUUUUUGGGCUUGCAAUUAUAGGACAAAUUUUCAAAAAUUCAGCAUAAAUAGGAUAAAUUGAGCCCGAAAAAUCAAUUUGUCCUACAAUUGCAAGCGCAAAAAAAAUUGUCCUACAUUUGCAAAAUAACAAAAAUUACGGGCCUAAAAAAACGAGAGAGAAGAUAGAUUUUUUUUAAAUUUUUAAUCUUUAAAUAAAUAUAACUUUUACAAUUCAAAUCAAAUAUUUACAUAAAAUAUGUCAAAUUAAAGCUCUUAUUGUGAUCUUUAAUUUGAUAUGCAUAUUACAUAUUUUAUAAUUAGUCGAAUUUUAUAAUUUUAGAAAGAAAUAAAAUAAAAUAAUUAAAAGAUAAAAAAUUAAAAAAUAUAUUUAUAAAUAAACCUUAAUUUUAUAUAACUCCAAAUUCCCACUCAAAUUGAAAUCUUUGUCUUUUUAGGUUAUUUUAUUUCCUUUUGUUCUAUCUGAUUUUUCUUGCCAACUACUGCGUGACUACCUUGUUUCCUCUGUAACANUAAAUCUUGAAUUUUAUUAUAACUCCAAAUUUCCCACUCAAAUUGAAAUCUUGUCUUUUUAAGGGUUAUUUUAUUUCCUUUUUUCUUCCCCUAUAUUUUCUUUUCUUGCGUGGCAAAAAUUUAAUAUCUUGCCACUCCAAAAUUGCCACUCAAAAUAUUUAAUAUGCAUAUCAAAUUAAAGAUCACAAUAAGAGCUUUAAUUUGAUAGAUUUUAUGUAAAUAUUUGAUUUGAAAUGUAGAAGUUAUAUUUAUUUAAAGAUUAAAUUUUUUACAAAAAUUCUUUCUUCUCUCUCUUUUUUUAGGACCGUAAUUGCAAAUGUAGGACAAAAAAUUUUGGGCUUGCAAUUGGAGGACAAAUUAAUUUUUCGGCUCAAUUUGUCCUACUUAUGCUCAAUUUUUAAAAAUUUAUCCUACAAUUGCAAGCCCAAAAAAAUUUGUCCUACAUUUGCAAAAUAGUCAAAGUUAUGGACCUAAAAAAACUUUGGGCUCAAGAUUGACUAAUUCAUGGAACUUGUAGAGAAAAUAGUACCACAAUUAGUACUUUGUUGGGCAAGAACAUUCACCGAACAUAAAUGUUAUAAAGCAGUAAAACAACACAACAACUUGAUAACCCAAUUCGUUGAAUCAUCUACUUUUGGUGGGCCUCGCCCAGAGGAAACAAUCCACUACAUGGAGAUAAGUAACAAAAGGACUUACACAAUAAGACUCCCCUUCUAUUUCGCCUAGUAACUUCCCAAAUCUCCACUCAAGAUGAAAUGUUAGUUGUGAAUGAUAGUAUGAGCACACACACACAACUUGGACAUGAGUAUUGACGGUCACCACCCAAUCCCUCAUGAAACAAGAAUCAAAUAAAUAAGAAUCUAUAUUUCUGUUACAAAUUAUGCUCAAUAAUAUUUACCUCAUAACACUCUACUGCUAUAAUUAGAGCACUCACAACGGCUACACGAUAGCCCUAUCGUGUAAAUGUGCUAUCGUGUAAGCGUUGCGGGAGCACCUUACACGAGGGCUACACGAGGGCUAUCGUGUAGCCCUUUAAACGGUCAAUUAUAGGCGCGUGUUUUGAAUUUUUUUUACACGCGCCUCUAUAAAAAAAUGAAUUUUUGACUCAAAUUGGCAGCUUUGACUCCUCGGAAUAGUUAUUUGUAGGAUUUGUUUUUAUUUUAUUAAAUUUUAUGUAAUUUUUAGGAUUUCAAAAUUAAUGCAAUUUAAAUUUGAAGUAAAUUGUGCAAUUUAAAUUUAUGAAAAUUAAACUUAAAUGAAAAAAUCAAAACUAAUGCUAUCAUGUAAGCUAUCAUGUAACCCCACUGCAGCAUCUUUACACCAUGUGGUCCCCCCAUCAUAAAGUAGGCUAUUAUGUAAGCUAUCAUGUAACCCCAUUACGGAUGCUCUUAGUACCGAGAACAAUACCAUUGGCAACAUGUUCGGGAGACACCUAACAUGAACAAAGAUUAAGCUGUAAUCCAAGAAUAGUCAUUAAUUUAUUCAGAAUCACUAGUUCAAUCUAAGUUCAUAGUAAAAUGUGUUGAAUUGUGGACAAUGUCCAUGACACUAUAUAUAAUCAAGUGGACAUCAAUAGCUAUUGAAAUCAUCAUCCAUUGAAUUAGUUAGGGACCUGAAAUAUGGUCAAAAGAAGAUUAUUUCCGAACCAAUACAAAUACUCUAUGUUCUUUACUGCUUUGCUUCAAUCAUGUCGUUCAAAUUGUAUUACUAUGCAUAAUGUUUGAAAACUCAAAUUUGAUAGUAUACACCUAAAGUAGCACAUCAACAAAUACAAUAACAUAUUUUAACCGUCUCACUAAAUGAACAAACAAUAAAAAGCGAACAUAAAUAGACUCAGCAAUAUAUUUCACACAAUACUUUGAUAUAUGCACAUGCAUGCUCUAUUAUUUAGUUGAAAAACCUUUGAACCUAAGUUGAAAUGCUAAUUUCACGUCAAAGGAGCAUACAUGCUUUAUCAACUCUUCAAGUGUAUCUCGACAUUCAGCUGACAAAGGUAUGCAUAGGCCGAUCGAAAAGUUUGUACUCAUGUAUUCUAUAUCCCGACUACACUCACUUCUGAGACCAACAAAAGUAAUCAAGUUUAAUAAAGUAACAAGGGAAAUUUUGACUUAUCAUGCCAGCCUACUCAGUUUUCAAAUUAGUCCUAUCAUGCUCGGGCUACUUUUGGUUCCAAUCAAUUAGACUAAUUUUUUUAAUUUGAGCUAAACCUUUUUUGCCCUAAUCCUUUAUUUUUUCGGUCUAUUCGGGCCGGUUCUCCAGCUUCGCACUAAACCGGUAUAUGUAGUGCCAAGUAUGCUAGACUCGACCUAGAAAACGUUAGUGAAAUUUAAAUUGAAGACCUUUAGUUUUAAGAAUGUUACUUUUACCACUAAUUAAAUCAUCCGCAAAGGGAGAAUAUCAAUAGAUUUUAUUUUAUUUUUGGCCUAAUUAUUCGGAUUCACUUUUGCUUUCACAAAUUAAACCUCUUAACCAUGAUAAAAUAUUGAUAUAUAAACAUAAAAUUGAUAAAUAAAAAAGACAAAAAAAUAUUAAAGUUUUUUUCGGACAAAUUUAAAUAAAUCAAAGCUAAUGAAAUUAAGAAAAUUUAUAUAAAAAACAUUAAAACUCAUUAAUAAUUUAAAAUUCUUAUAAUAUUCGAAGACACUCAUGAAAUAACUUCUAGAAAGCUACUACUAAUAUUGUGAAAAAUAUUUAUAGUAAUAUAAGAGACUCCUUAGUUAAUUACAAGUGAAAUUGUUAGUGCAUACUCAAUUUUGUACAAGUAUUAAUAAGACAACAGUUAUAUAAUAUUGAAAAAUUAUUAUUCUUCCAUAAUUAAUAUAUUAACAUAAUUUGAAGGGUAAUUUGACUAUUUUUUUUAAAAAUACAUUUCAUUGAAAUUUUACAUCUUAUUACUUACUAUAAUCGAGAUUUUUUAAUCAAUUACCGACUCAUAAUAUCACAUUAUUUGUGGAUAUCAACCAUAUCAUUCUAUCCUCUCAAAAAAAAAACCAUAUCAUUCUAAUUUUAUUUAAUUUCCCUCGAUUCGCUCCUCAUGAACCACCAUCAACAUAAGAGAGUAUACUUUUGCUUCCGGAAGCAUUGUUCAUUAAGAUGUGGUUACCAAAAUCAAAGAACUACAAGCUAAAAACUAAUUAACUAAAAGAAAAUAAUUUAAUUUGAAUGUAUUGUAGUUCAGAAUCAAAUAACAACUCAAUUACACUCAAAUUCAUUGGUUCGGUUGGUAGCAGGUGGAAGAUUCGAAAAAAUUAAUGUAAGAGUACAGCUCCUAAAAAAAGCUACUUCUACAAAUUAUUAUAUUCUCACUGUAGCAGUUUCACCACUUUGGUUUUUAAUUAGCAAAAAUGGAAAAUAGUGACUAUCUCAUCCUAACAAAUCCUGACAUGGUUAGUUACUCAUGUUUAUAAUUAGUUUUUUAGACCUACAAAUAAAUGAUAGUACUAAUUAAUUAUCAUUAAACAGGGAAAUGCUAUCCCAUUUUAAAAAUCAAUAAAAAACACGAGAGCAAUACUGCUGUGUUUUGUAUAAUAAUUCAAAUAUCGUCAAGAAUGUAGAUUCUAGUUAAAUGAUACUCUAUUAUGAUAAGUUAAUAACAGCAAUACACAUAGAAAUCAUUGGUCGCAUUGUACAUCCGGCACGAAGGCAAAGCCGGGCCAGAGUGACCACACGUGCGAGGCCCACAGUUCAGAGUGCGUCCAGCAGCGCACGGUAGCCCAGGCGACACGUGUCGGGUCGCGGCGACCAUGUUGCGCGUAACCCGUGUUUCUAGCCCUGAUUUUACAAAACCGGUGUUUGCUGUCGGCAGAGUGAAAUGGUUCUCUACAAAAGCGGCUAAAUGAAAAGUCUAACGUUGUUGUGUAAACUUAAAGCAAGCUACGCAUAGGCUAAAAAAAAAAGUCUUGUGGGAAAGAGAAAAUUGGAAAUAAAGGUGCCAAAUGCUGGUAAUUGAGUCCACCGACAAUCGCAUUCUUAUUUGUAACUUGUGUGAAACUAAGGAAUAACCUCAAAUGUCAAUAAAAUUUUACUUUGAUAGAAAUUAUUUUUCUAAUUGAAUUCCUCAGCAGGGAAAAGUAUGUAUAUUUUUUUAUAACAAUAUUCAUAUUUUGCAAAUAUUCUAUAUAUUUUUUUUGAUAAGGAAAGUAAAUAUUAUAGAACGAAAAGGCACCAGUAGUACCAAGAAGAUUACAAAAUCAGCGGGGAUUCAUAAUUCGACAUCCACCUAUGAAUCCCAACUCCAUCAUUAACAAAACCAAAAAUUCUACCCCAACUCCACACUCUAGCUUUGAUUUCUCCAAACAAGUUUGCACUCUCCCAUCUUUUGUUCUCAAAUCUACUCUCAUUACGCAUUUUCCAAAUAAGCCAAGUAGUACAACACCAAAGAGCCAUCAAGAGCUUCUUAUUUCUUUUCCGGCCACUCAAACUAGUAAAGAACUGAAAGUGCGAGGACACGUCAUAUGGCUGCGCCAUGCUAACUCCGAGCCAUUGAAAGAUUGCUUCCCAUACCUUUGAGGUCUUUGGACAGUGGAUCAACAAGUGGUUCGUGGAUUCCUGCCGAUGAAAACAUGCGUUACAUCCCACCUCGACUUCACACAACAUCACAUUUCUUCUCAAGAGAUUGUCACACGUCGGAAUUCUGUUCUUCAAAAUUCUCCAUGCGGUAAGCUUGACUUUGUUUGGAAUAGGGAUCUUCCACACCUUCAUACUCAUAUCAGUUCCUCCACCGCCUCCGUAGUCUCGUUUGCUUGAUCUUUAAUAGCUUCAUAAGCGGACUUGGUUGUAAAGCCUCUCCCGAUGUCGCCACUCCAUGUCCAUCCGUCCUUGUUACCUGCACACAGAUUAGUACCAGAACAAGGCUAAGCAACUCCGAAACUCCUUCCCUCUCUCUCUCAAAUAGCUCUCUUCUCCACCUUAAAUCCCAACACCAUCCAGUAUCAGUCCAUUCCCCAACUUCACAGAUUGCAGCUUCUUUAUUAGCACUCAACUGAAAAAGUCUAGGAAAAGUAAACUUCAACGGCUUUUUGUCCAACCCACCACUGACUCCAGAAUUUAAAGGUCUUCCCAUCCCCCACCUUUGGCUUCAAAUUUUGAACAAACCAAAAAUUGCUCGCCCCUCCCGCCGCAGAAACGAUCUUCGGCCACCACCCAUCUCUAAAUCUACCUUUCCCCGCGUUUUCCAGACCUGUCUCUCCCCACUCAACCUCACCAUAAAUGGACCUAACAAUUUUAGCCCAAAGCAUGUCCCUUCCAGUAAGGUACCGCCACAACCAUUUAACGACAAGUGCCUGAUUAAACCACUCAAUAUUUUUAAGCCCCAAGCCCCCUUCAUCUUUUGAAGCACAAAGCACCUUCCAUUUCACCCAAGCAAUCGCACUUUUACUAGAACCCCCUCCCCACAGAAAAUUACCAAGUAAAGCAUUUAGAGAACUCACAAUUGAUUUUGGUAAACAGGUAAAAGAGAGCUGGUAAAUCGGUAUAGAUUGAAGCACAGCCUUCACCAANGCGGGAUCGCGGCGUUGGUCGAGGCGAUUGAGGAUGGGAGCAACAAAGGGAAGGAGUUCGCAGUGCUGACUCUACUCCAGCUUUGCGCCGAGAGUGUAAGGAACAGGGGGAUUGCUUGUCAGGGAAGGGGGUAUUCCGCCGUUAGUGGCGCUGUCGCAGAGUGGGACGGCUAAAGCUAAGCAUAAGGUUAGCUGAUUAUUCUGUUCAAGAUUUCAUUACAUUUGAAACUCAGUUAAAUUACUGCAUAUUAUGUCUUCUCGGGUGACAUUCAUUUGGGAUCUUGGAUAAAUUUGCUAUAGUUGAAACAAUUUGCCCAAAAUUUGUUUUAUUACUUAGUUCAUUCUGCUACAAGAUCAAUCCAAAACCCUUUGAACGUGUAAUUCAAUUAUUUAUUGUGUCAAAUGCUGCCUACCAAGUUAUCCUAAUUAUUGAGAAUGAUUGUUAAAACGAGGGGGACAUAGAUGAUAAUGCAAGUUGCAUAAGCUGGUUGUAUGUAUUAUGUCGAUGAUAUUUGAAUCUAUGAUAAAAAGGGAGCACCACUUGCUAAUAAUAAUUGCACUUUAUGUCAUAAUCUUUCUCUCCAAAUGAUCAGUGGCUUGAUCUUGAUGGGUUGGUGCUAAUCUUGAUUGUUUUGUAUAUAAUUGCAGUCACUGGUCGUCUAGGUAUCGUAUUCUUGCAUUAUUUAGAGGAUCAAUAACUGCUCAAGUGUUGCUUUCGUUGCUCGGCUACAUUUUGCGUCUGGUUUUUCUAGCUUUUUAUAUUAAAAGCUGCAAUUUUUCUUCACGCUAUGUCGCCAUCAUAGAGUUGUAAUUACUUACUAGGUUUCAACUUUUUUUCUUUUCAGGCUGAAAGGCUUCUUGGGUACUUAAGAGAACCAAGACAGGAAGCUUCUUCUUCAAGUCCAUAAAAGGGGGAGAGGUAUUAUAGAUGAUUUAUCGUUGUACUAUGCUUUUGUGAUGGCUUGCUGUUGGCUGUAUAUAGCAAGUGUUCCUUGGACUUGUACAGAGAGUGGUUGAGUAAGUGGUUGAGUAAUUUGAGGAUUUUCAAAAAAAAAUCUCAAGAAAAAAUAAAAAAUUAAGAAGCUACUAGUUAGUGAUAAGAAGCUGACCUCAGUAGUUGUAUUUUGUGUUUGGUUGACUGGGUUCUUUUCUGGGGAGGGUGAUCCCGGCCUUUUCUGACUGCUGCCGUUAUGUAUUUUUUUUUGUUGUUGUUGUUGAGAGGAAAAGCUGUUUCUUAGCUUAGUCAUUGAGAAUCCGGGUGAUCAUCCUUGGUUUUGUUGGGUGAGAGCCGAACGUAGUCUGGUUGGGAUUUCAGACUAGGCAGACGUAUAGUAUUAGUAUGGUCGUGUUGUAUUUUUGUGGGCGAGGGAGGGGGACUCCCUGCAAGCCCAGUCCUUUUGUUACUUGCUCUGGUAUUGAUGUGAAUAAUAUCUUGAAUAUUUAGCUGGCCAGCUUGCACUAGUUAGUGUUUCACCUGAGUUGUAUGUGUGAUCCUUUGACCUGUUUGUUUAACAUUGAAAAAAAAGUAAUCUAGCAGAGGAUUGUAUACAAAGAUUAAGGUGGUGUGGUGUUUAAUCUAAAUUAGAGAUGUAAAAAUGGUAUGGAGUAGGAUUGAAACAUAAGCAUGGAGGUGGGGCCCAAGUCUUUGGUGUAAAGUUGCUCCACCACCUACAGUGUGAAGGCCUACCAACAACAUGCAGUUGUACAUUUUUAACCAUGAUAGGUCCAGCCAGCCAGCCACCGAACCCACACCCAGAUUACGUAGUUUGGUGGUGACUCUCUCUCUAUGGGCUCUUUUUUCUUUUUUCUUGUUAUUAUGGCCUUAGCUGGCAGAGCAGGUAUGUUUUGUCGUGCAGCCCAUUUUUCUAUUCCCAGACAUUUUCUUUUUUCUUUUUCUUUCUGUAUCAUUUUUGUUGGUAGUGAAGAAAGUGUCGGUGUAUCUAGGAGGGGCAAAAGUAGGAGAUGCCCAACUUGCUAGAUUCCACUGUAACAGAUCUGGAAUUUCUCCACUUUAUGGCUUCGCCUUCAACUUGUAAUGUAAUCUGCAGUAAAUACUACUCCAGAAAAGUAUGGAUUAGCGGUUGCCUGCUAACUAAUAAGAUGGAUGCAUACCUAAUCACGAAUUUCAAAUCGAUUUCGACUUCAUUCCUCCCACCUAAGCACUUCUUUUUCAAGUUGAAUUUGAGCAGCUCAAGUGGACCUAGCACGAUGGGUUUAGAGCUGAGAUUCAAAAAAUAAAGGCUCGAAAUUUGUCACCUCAGACAGCCCUACCGGUUUUUUUUUAUAUGUUUAGGACUUUGUUACUAGACUAUCGAUUAUUGUAGUUUUUUUUUUUUUUUGAUAGGAAAGUAAAUAUUAUAGAACGAAAAGGCACCAGUAGUACCAAGAAGAUUACAAAAUCAUCGGGGAUUCAUCAUUCGACAUCCACCUAUGAAUUCCAACUCCAUCAUUAACAAACCAAAAAUUCUACCCCAACUCCACACUCUAGCUUUGAUUUCUCCAAACAAGUUUGCACUCUCCCCAUCUUUUGUUCUCAAAUCUACUCUCAUUACGCAUUUUCCAAAUAAGCCAAGUAGUACAACACCAAAGAGCCAUCAAGAGCUUCUAUUUCUUUCCGGCCACUCAAACUAGUAAAGAACUGAAAGUGCGAGGACACGUCAUAUGGCUGCGUCAUGCUAACUCCGAGCCAUUGAAAGAUUGCUUCCCAUACCUUUGAGGUCUUUGGACAGUGGAUCAACAGGUGAUUCGUGGAUUCCUGCCGAUGAAAACAGGCGUUACAUCCCACCUCGACUUCACACAACAUCACAUUUCUUCUCGAGAGAUUGUCACACGUCGGAAUUCUGUUCUUCAAAAUUCUCCAUGCGGUAAGCUUGACUUUGUUUGGAAUAGGGAUCUUCCACACCUUCGUACUCAUAUCAGUUUCCUCCACCGCCUCCGUAGUCUCGUUUGCUUGAUCUUUAAUAGCUUCAUAAGCAGACUUGGUUGUAAAGCCUCUCUCGAUGUCGCCACUCCAUGUCCAUCCGUCCUUGUUACCUGCACACAGAUUAGUACCAGAAACAAGGCUAAGCAACUCCGAACUCC
rnacentral:lncRNA from 1 species